rnacentral:lncRNA from 1 species
CUUCCAAAGCAGUGGCAGACAGAUCCUCUGAUGCAGACUCUGGGGCUGGAUCCGGGGCUACCUCUUGAGCAGCUCCUUGCUCCGGCACGAGGACGUACUCUCCGUCAGCAAGGUUACAGUCUAUCGAAAUGCAAUGAACAUGUAUGUCAUGAUUAUGCAAGAUUUAAUAAUAUUAUGUUGAGAGAAGAAAAACUAAAUUAAGGAGUAACUUAGGGUUUACUUGGUCAUACGGGGCCUUUAGUGGUUUAUGCUUUUCAUUCCUAGGUUUAGAUUUUUGUUGAGGAUAAACAUAGUGGAUUUGUCUUGUCUUUAUAUAUUUCAGUGGACAAUUUACAAGGGUUUUAGGAUGACACUAAUUUCCAUUAUUCAUUUUCCUUUUUUUAAUUUCUAUUUAUGAAUUCUAGUGGGGGUUUGAACUACAACAGUAGUUUAAUCUUCUCCAAAAAUUUUGUAAAAAUUACAAUGGGUUGCCAUUGGUCACUAUAGCCCCUUCUAGGAAGUUGAGGUUCAAAACAAAAAGGCUAUGCUUUAGACAAAAAUAAUAAAGGUUGGGUAAAUGGGUCAUUUUGUACUACAACUCUUAAUUAUAGGUGGGAUCUGUCUUAAAGGUUAUUUUUGUUGGCAUCUAACAGUAAUAAUAGGCUUUUGUGCCAAAAACCAUAGAAAGCUAAGGGGUGGUUAUUUAGUUAUGAUUUUCUAAAGUUUAAUGUCAAAAAGGCACUUUCUACUACAUUGUUAUUUGAAAAAUGUCAAACAGCAGAUUUCAUAUUUUUCCUAUGUUCUUAAUAACAAAACAUUAACUAUCCCAAGGGUGGGGGUGUUUUCACCUUGGGGUUAUUUUUGUAGGGUUUUUCUAAUUUAUCCUUGUUUUAUUCAAUUAAAAGGUAUCCUACUUAUUUUAUACUAAACCAGGGUAUGAUAGAUUUUUCCAGUGAACUAUAUUGAAUAAGUAUCCUAACAAAAAUAGGGGUGCCCUUUGGUUCAUUAUUUAAAUCACAUUUUCUAUUUUUCUUAACCUUAAGCAUAUUGCAAAAUAAGGGGCAAAAACUAACUUAAUGCGGUGGACAGAGAGGUUUAACAUUUUUAAACAGGUCAGUAGGUAGAUAUAAACUUCUCCAAAUUUUUCUAACCCUAGUCAAAUAGUACAACUAUUUUUCUUUCUAUUAUUGAGCUUUUGGCUAAAACUAUAAUUAAAUCAGAACCUUAAAGUUUUCUAUAGUACCUAGGGGUUUUAUAUUUUGCUUAAGUAGGUCACAUUAAUUAGAGUCUGGCAAAAUUGGUUUGACCAAAUUUUGAUGAACUAAACAGAAGUUAUGAGUUUUUAAAGUUUCUGUUCAAAUUAAAAACAGAUUUAAUAAGAGUUUCCUGGAAAAACAGUUUACACCGAGGUCCCUGGGUUUAAACUAAAUCAACCCGCACAAAUCUACCCUUGCGCCACUAUUCCCCUGGGUCGCUGACAGUUCAAAAAGCCCCCUAACCUUUCCUUCUUCUUCCCCGAGGUCCUUCCCCCAAUGUAAACAGUACCGGCGGGAAAGAAAAGGGUGGCGCGGCUUACCAGCGGCGAGAUAGGUCCGGCGAAGGGCAGGGUUGGCUCGGGGAGGCUCGGGCGGUCACAGCGAGGUGCGGCUCGACGGCGGGGAUGGCCGGAAUCGCUCGGUCCACGUGCGCAGGCGGGUGUUCUCGUCGGCGGCGAGUGUACCGGCCAAACCACGGCGAUCUGGUUCAAUCCAAGGGCACGGUGAGCUUCACGGGGUAACGUAGUGACCGUGUGCACAAGGAAUCGGAAAAUGGUUGAGUGGAUUACCCGGUCCACGCACUCUGGCGGGGUUGGGAACUCCGGCGACCGUGGACUGGCCUCUCUGGUGAAGCAGGCUUCGAUUCCUUGCUCGGGGAGCUUCACUGAGCUGUGCACACUCGUCUCCGAGGGUUGGACGGGGUUGGGAAAGGCUGGGCUGGCCGGUCUACGGUGGCAGUGGCUCGGGUGGCCGCGGACACGCCGCGCACGGGCAAACGCCGGUGAACUGAGCUCUAGUGAGGCUUGAGCGUGCACGGAAGAGUGUAGCCGACGCCUGGGUGGGCUUUAUAGGCGCGGGCGCGGGCCAGGGCGCCGACUGGCCGUUGGCGCGACGCGGGGCGCGCGCGGGCGUGCUCUGGCGCACACAGAGCGCGUCGAACACGUGGAGCUCUUCUUCUGCCCGUGUUCCACAGCUCACCCAAGUCGCAAACGUGCGAAUCUUGGCAAAAAUCCGGCGCGAGUCUUUUCCUGGCACCUAGGGCUGUCUCUCAUCCGUGAGCUGCCAUGGCAGAUAUGGCCUAGGUAGGGAGAUCUUCGGUCGCCAAAUCGGGUGUGUCACACUGCCCACUUCGCGACAAAAACCAUGCCAAGGCAUGUCAAACGUCAGAGUCUCGGGCUUAGCUUUUUCCAGUGGGUGCCUUGGGUGGUAUGCCACAUUUUUGGUAUAGAACAUAGGUAGAUUUGGUGCCAGCUUCGAGGUGAACAUGACUGAUCUUUAGUGUAGGUGUAGUUUUUAACUUAGAGAGAGAUAGAGAGCUCUAGCUCUCUCUCCACUUGGAGAUUUGAUUUGGGGUUUCUCCAGGGGUCUUUUUGCAAUAUUUCCUUCCCCUAAUUGCUGGUUAUAAGGUUACUUAAGGUUGGGUUAAAGAUUACUCAUGUUUUGCACAUUUGCUCACUCUCUUUCCCCUCUUAUCCAUGGUUUUGGGAGAUAGGGUUUAAGAGAGGUCUAGGGUUCUUCCCCCCUCUUAUCCAAGGUAGUAAGUGUGCAAAGAUUUGAGUAAUACUUCUUAGGUCAUUAACAAACUUUGAUUAACACAUGAUCUCCAAAGUUCUUAUGUGUUUCCUUAAGUCUCUACCACACAUGAUCACAGUCCUUAGCACCAAGGUGUGCUCUAGCCAUGGUAACACCUGAGGUGUUACAGUUUUUUCCUCAUUUCGAGCACUAGGACUCGCCUGUCGGUUAGCUGAACCACUUAACCAAGUGUGAGUUGCCCUGUGCGGAAGGUGACGAGUGAGGUAUCUGUAUCCCGGAGGCGUAGGAGUCCCUCGGCUCGGUCGGCCUUGCCGCCUGAGGCUUCUCUUGCUCAGUCAAAGGAACCCUCGGCCGCUCUGCGAUGAGCCGGAGCCGGAGGCAGCGGUAUUAGCAUGGACAGAGGCGGAGUUGGCUCGAAAAGAAGCUUCGUUGGUCGGAGCCUGGCUGGGCCGUCCACUGGCGGGACCAACGCCGGAGUCGGGUUGUCGAGGCCAUGAGCCGGGCUGAUGUCCUCGGGGGACAGCUGGCUGAGGCCGUCGAGCCGUCUGCUCGGGUCGGGUUCCUGGAGGAGACCCCGGCGACGAUGGCCCAGGCGCGGUGCUGACAUCUUUCUUCGAGGUGGAGAUCCUCCGACCGUGUUGCUGUCCGAGGCCGGGUCGGAUUCUGCCGAAGGUGGAGUCGAUGCCGAGAGUGCUGCUGCUCCCCCUGCUAAUGUCUGAUCCUGCAGGAACAGUUUAUCUGUAGUGUGCGUAUGUUUUUUGCGGCCGCCGAGGCCCAAACAUACCGUCGUCGUGUUGUAAAGCUGUGUUUGUUUUCCCCUCGUUUCGAGUAUCAGGACUUAUUUGUCGGUAACAUAAUUGUUUAUCCGAGCGAGAGUUACUUUUCAUGGAAGGUGAUGAGUGAGGUAUCCGUAUCCCGGAGGCGUAGGAGUCCCUCGGCUCGGUCGGCCUUGCCGCUUACGUGUACUCUUACUCGUCCGUUGGAUUCUGUUAUUGAUAUAGUCGAGAAGGCACGAAAAAUCGUUUCGACAGAAAAGCUUUCGAACGUUAAGACUUGUUCGGCCAGUGGAAUCGCUUAUCCGAGCGUGAGUUACUUGUCGCAGAAGGUGAUGAGUGAGGUAUCCGUAUCCCGGAGGCGUAGGAGUCCCUCGGCUCGGUCAGCCUUGCCUGCUUACGUGUACUCCGUCGUUUCCAGGAUCCCACUAUCGAAGUAGUCGAAAAGCACGAAAGAUAUUCUGGCAGAAAGAUUUUUUCCGAGGAAAAUUUUGACGCAGAGGGGGUUCCCCCCUUCUAGCCCCCGAGGGAGGGUCGGGCUUUGCCGAGGCAAGGCUGACCCUUCCUUGAUGGUUAGACUUUAUUUGUGUAUGUAAACGAGGUAUAUGAACGACUUGAAAACAUCUUAAUGGUAGAAGCGACGUAGUUGUCGGAUGUUCCAAGCGUUGUUGUAGACCUCGCCUUGACUGUUGGCCAACUUGUAUGUUCCGGGCUUCAAAAUCUUGGCGAUGAUGAACGGCCCUUCCCAGGGAGGCGUGAGCUUGUGACGCCCUCGGGCGUCUUGUCGUAGCCGAAGCACCAAGUCGCCCACCUGGAGGUCUCGGGACCGAACCCCUCGGGUGUGGUAGCGUCGCAGAGACUGCUGAUACCGCGCCGAGUGUAGUAAGGCUACAUCCCAAGCCUCUUCCAGCUGGUCUAGCGAGUCUUCUCGGUCGGUCCGGUUGCUUCGGUCGUCGUACGCCUUCAUCCUCGGGGAUCUGUAUUCUAAGUCUGUGGGCAAGAUAGCCUCGGCCCCAUAGACUAGAAAGAACGACGUGAAGCCCGUGGCUCGGCUUGGCGUCGUUCUCAGACUCCAGACCACCGAGGGGAGUUCUUUCAUCCAUCGUCUGCCGAACUUGUUGAGGUCGUUGUAGAUCCGUGGCUUGAGUCCUUGCAGAAUCAUGCUGUUGGCACGCUCUACUUGCCCAUUCGUCAUGGGGUGAGCUACGGCGGCCCAGUCCACCCGGAUGUGGUGGUCCUCGCAGAAGUCCAGGAACUUUCUGCCAGUGAACUGGGUGCCGUUGUUGGUGAUGAUGGAGUUCGGUACCUGUUGGGGGCCUUCGGCUUCCGAAGGUCCUCAAAAACAUAAUUUAACAAUGUUUCUGGAGUAUAAUGAAUGAACAGGUAUCUUCGGACUCAAAUCGGUACCACAGUGGGAGAAGGCCAAAGAAUACGAAGGUUGACACAGCGCCGAAGCUGUGAGCAGGAAAGCUUCGGCAUGAUAGCAGAAAAGGAAACCGACUUAAAGAUGAAAAGGCUAUUCAGACCUCGGUGGAUUACUAUAGAAUUACUACCAAAUGUAAAGGGCAUGGGUGUAAUUUUACAUGGGCUGUGUCCCGUGCCUAUAAAUAGAUGAACAGUGCUCCUGUACUGUUCGGGCUGACUUGGCAUUUGCUUUUGCGUCACGCUUGUACUUUUACCUUCUUUUAAGCCGAAGGUACAUUUGUAAUUUGAUAUCAUUCCUAUUCUUCCAUAAUAAUAAUAUAAAAAUGAGUUGAUAAUAAUAUAUAAUUGUUUACGUCAUCCUUUAUAUUUCAUAUGUUUUCUUCUUCAUUAUUAUGUGUUGUGUUUAUGAAGGUACGUCCUUCAUAACCUUCGUCCGAAAAUCAUUAUAUCCCCAAGGGAAAUAAUGCUUUGAAGGACGAAGGACUUUAACGUUUAACAUUUUUUGUGUUGUCUUGUUCUUAACUCAUAGCAUUUGAGAACAAGUCCCCAACAUUGGCGCCCACCUCCGGUGAACUCACUUCCACUCUUUGAGUUUUGAACACCUUCGGCAAUCAUAAACCUUCGCUAUGGCGCCGAAGAAAGCUUCAGCAACUGGGGCUACAGCUCUGCAACCGCUGGACCCUAAUCAGGAGACUCUCUCCCUUCGGGAGGCCCGAAGCCAGAAGAGGAAGGCUGUCAGCCCGACACCGCCAGAGGAUGAGCUAGACCAAGAAAUCAGAGACAUGGAGAUGCUUCAUCAACAGGUGCAGAGGAAGAAGGAAAAGAUGGCCAGGCUAGCUGAACUGCAAAGGCAGAUAGACGAAGCCUCUGAAGAAGUUCGUCAUCUUACUCAGGAUGAGCAGAACCGAAGGCCUCAGCAUAAAGACCUUCAUCAGGAGGGUUUCUUCAACGAAGAUGACUGGUAUGAGAAUUUCUACCAUGGAAAUUUUGCUUUUGAUGAUGCUUCUCCUCUGUCCGCUGAGCUGCAGGCUACACCUUGGCCUCCGUCCUACAAGCCGCCUCAGCUUCCCAUAUUCGAUGGCCAUUCAGACCCGAAGCAGUUUUUGAUGAGCUACGAAGCAACAGUAUCUUCGUAUGGUGGCAAUACUGCAGUCAUGGCAAAAUCUUUUGUUAUGGCUGUCAGGAGUGUUGCUCAAACCUGGUAUUCCUCCCUUCGACCAGGAACGAUCACUUCAUGGCAAAAGCUGAAGGACAUGUUGUUAACCAGUUUCCAAGGGUUUCAGACGAAGCCGGUCACUGCUCAAGCUCUAUUCCAGUGUACCCAGGAUCACGAAGAAUACCUUGAGGCGUAUGUCCGGAGGUUCUUGCGUUUGAGGGCACAGGCACCAACAGUGCCCAACGAAAUUGUCAUUGAGGCCAUGAUCAAGGGACUUCGGCCAGGACCUUCAGCUCAGUACUUUGCUAGGAAGCCUCCUCAAACUUUGGAGAAGCUGCUCUAGAAGAUGGACGAGUAUAUUCGUGCCGACAAUGAUUUUCGUCAAAGAAGGGAGGAGGCUUUCAGGUUUUCCGAAAUGACCAGGGGCUUCGGAGGAAGAUUUUAUCCGAGGCACGUUAGGUCAAUUCACAACUCUACUCAAAAUGAUGAUAAGGGGAGUCAGCAGCAAAGGCCACAGUGCUCCUCACAGGCUUCGGGGCAACAACAAAGCUCCUUCCGGCCGCCAGCUCCAAGAGGCAGAGGCGCCAGGGGCUUCGGCGGAAGAUUUGGAGAUCAACCAAGCAGAAUAUUUUGCUUGUUCUGUGGUGAAAACAAGGGCCAUACCACCAGGAUGUGCCAUGUUACCAUCCAGAAGCAAAAGGAGAUAGCCGAAGCUGCAGCACAACAGGGUCAGCCGAAGCAGAUCAUGCACACUGCUUCGUAUCAUUCGCCUUAUAUCCCAGAAUAUGUAGGCAACCACCCUGCAGUUUCUGUUGCUUCGGCGAGUCAACCUCAAGCUUCCUGGCAACAGCCUCCGCCUCCACCACCGAUGCAACAAGGUCAGCAGCCAGAAGGGGGCCAAUAUGCUCAACAACAAAGGGACUUCAGAGAACAGUCCGAAGCUCACACAGUCAAUAGCACUGUGCCAGAGUCGAAGCACAUUUAUUGACAAAUAUCCUACCUUGAUAGUAGUCUUUUCCAUUUAGUUUUAUUUUCUGUGUAAUAAAAGACAUUUUUUUAAAUCUCAUGUAAUAGUUUCAUUGUUUGCCACAAGGAAAAUAUAUCUUCCCCACAGGCUUAAGUUGUUGAAGCUUAAAGAUUUGCGAUAGCAAGGAGGACCUUCGAAUCAUCAAAAAAUUAUUUUAAAAGGCACGGUAUGAAUUCUUCGAAGCAACAAAAAGUUGUUCUAAGAAACGCAGAGUAAGUUUGCUGAAGUUGCAAAAAGCCGUUCCAAAGGGAGCGCAGCGUAAGUUUUCUGCUCAAAAGUCGUUCCAAAGGGAAUGCAGAGCUUACAGCGAAAAAUAAACGCUGAUACCACCUAAGUAAAAGGCGAAGCGCGAAAAGUCAACGCGAAUACCGCCGAAAGUAAAAGGCGAAGAAGCUCCUAAGGGAGGCUUACAGCGAAAAAUAAACGCUGAUUCCGCUGAAGUAAAAGGCGAAGAAGCUCCUAAGGGAGGCUUACAGCGAAAAGUCAACACUGAUUUAAAAAGAUUAUGUGUUUUAUUGCGGGGAUGUGCGUGUAUCUUCGGAAUAAAUACCAUUUUACAUAGCAUAACAUCAUCACAUCAUUUUGCAUAGCAUAAGCAUCAUACAUCAUGCUGCAUAUGGCACAAGAAGGGGACACGAUAUUGAUCUUCGGAAGAAUGCUUUGAAAAAGGGAAAACAUGCUAAGUCACAAGGAGAUACAAUAUUGAUCUUCGGAAUGUAGCUUCGGAAAAUAUUUUCACGAAGCUUGGAUAUUCUUCAUCAGAACACUAUGGGUAUUGUUGUGAUAAAUGAAAAUUCUUCUUCACGAAGCAUGAAAAGAAGGGAAGGUGUUUUUUUCGUCAAAGACUCAAAAACGGUACGUAUGUAAAAUUUCAUGCAUCGUAAAGAAUUGAACCAUAAAAAACAAGUAUAUUACAUUCAGGGUUACAAGAUAUUACACAUAUUACAUUUCAGAAGUUUUUACAAUAGCACUUAGUCUUCCCUAAGUACAACUUCCGCAGCUUUGUUCAGGAGUUGAUUAACAACUUGAUCCAUGAUAGCUUCAGCCAUCUUUUUAAUUUCGUCGUCUUCUUUCGGGUGAGGGCCCGGAGACGCUUUAGUAGGAUCUGAAGGAGGACAGGAUAUGGCUACAUUGCUAUUACAAAUUGCGAACGAAGUUUAAAAUCAAAAAUUACAACACAAUAAAAACCAUUAGUUAAUACCUAUUUGCCCUUCGGGCUCUGCGCUUUUCUCAGCAGCCUCUGCUACUUUUCUAGCAUCAUGGAUGCCCUUUUCGCUUUUUUGGAUAAUUUCUCGGGCCAUUUCUCGACCACCAUUGUCCCAGACAUCGGUGAAAAAUUUUCCACCAACCAUGCUAGCUUCGGCUGAAGGAUCUUUUGCAUCUUCGAAGGACAAGGUAGCUUCGGAUUGCGCUAAAAUCUUUACAUGCUCGCAGCCCUUUUUCUCCAAAAUGGUGGCAAUCCCCCUGGCACCCGAAAAAGCACAUAUGUCUCCGCGGCUAUUUAAAAUUUCCUCAAAGGCCUCAGCUUCGUGAUUAAUCCAUUCGAUGGGACCUUCAGGGUUGCCUCUUGUAAAGUUUUCUUUGCUCGAGAAUGCGCCAACGCUGGCGAAGCUAGCUUUCAUUUUUUUAACACACUCCAUAGAUUUGUCAUAGCAUCUUUUCUUGGACGAACGAAGCUCUUCAACAGUUCCUUCUAAAUGAUUUGCCCAUUGGUCGCUAAGUUCUCGCUUCGUUUCUUCAAGUAUGCGUUCCUCUUUAGCUCUGGCUAGUUGUCUUCGAAGAUCUUCAAUUUCACGCUUCUGAGCCUCAGCUUGACCUUUAAAAGUAGCUUCGUCUUCUUUUAUUUUAUUUAUCAAUGAAUGUAAUAUUUUAUCUUUUUCGAGACCUUCGUUCCUUAGUUCAAUUACUUCGGAACGAAGGUUGCUCAGGGCCAUAACACACCCUUCGUCUUCGGCAUCUUUUUGGGCCCUGAGGGCAUUGCUAAGUAUAAGGCCCUGCAAAGAAAAAUGUGUGUGCGUCAAUAAAUUUAAGCAAACGAAAAAUUUUGGUCUCAAGAAAAAAUACAAAGACCUCAUUUUUUUUGCACCUUUAAGCUAUUGUACGCCAAGCUGUCGGCCAGCUCGUUUUUCGACAACACUGAGAGCCCGUCUUCUAGUGUUGGGAAUCCGAAGCUCUUGCUCAUCUCCCGACAGACAGAAAUCUCCUUGCUGUCAGGGAGACAAUACAAGAAGUCUUCUUCUCCGCUGUCGUUGAAUAUCAACACCCCCUUUGGAUAUUUCAGUUUUUGGGCGUAAAACUGGGCCUCUUGCUUUUCUUUUUCAGACAACUUUUUCCCCGAAGCAUAUCGAACAAUAUAAUCAAGGACUUUGGGGGAUGCUUCGGGGGCAACAGCACUGGUUUCUUCAACAAGAAUUGGCUCCGUCAUUUCUUCCUCCUCGGUUUCCAAGGAUUUUACCUUCGUGGGCUCUGAAGGCCCAGCUUCAGUCUCAGUUUGUUGCUUUGGAGCUUUAGUAUCAAACAUUUCAGUUUCCGCUUCGGAAGUUUCAACAGUCUUCUUCGGAGUCGUGCUUGAGGACUUAAUUGUCUCCAGUACAUCUAGCACAUUGACCAUUCUUUUUCUCUUCGGGGUCAUUGCCGGGCCUUUUUGGUUUUUUAUUGUCUCAACACUUGCUGAAGGACUUAAAAUUUCCAAUAUUUUUGUUCCUUCAGUUCUCGGUUUUUCUGCUUUCUCUACUGAGGGUGCUUCAGCUUUUUCUUCGAUCUUCGGCACUAAAGUUGGUUCUUUAAUUUCGGUGGCCGAAGAGGUUUCACCGGCGAACUCAGGCACUUUAGCUGGUUCAAUGUAGCGUGGCCGGUGUGUGAGAAUCUUUACCCUUUGUCUCUUCGGCGCUGGCUCGCCGGGAGCGGCUGAAGCAGUUUUCUGUGCAGAAGUUGCGCUUUUUCUUUUUUGGCCCCGCGCUGGAUAGUGGUAGUCGGGGUACACGAACCCAAUUGCGUCAAACACUCGGUUCAGUCUUUUCUUUUUCCGGCCUCCGAAGGCUGCUGACAAUGCAGUAUCUUCGGCCUUUGAAUAAACCCCAAGUAGUUCAUCACUUAAAUUUUCAAUGCUUUUUAGCCAGUCAUCAUCUGGCUCAACGAAUUUAUCUCCGAACUUGAAAGCAUACUUCAGCCUGAUAAGUCCACCUUCGUCAGCCUCCUUUAUGGUCUCUUGCGGCAUUUCCCAUUUUUCCGCAAGCGGCCAUACUCUGAAGGCAAUAUGCUCUUGGACCAAAUCCCUCGUUCCAAUAAAAGAGCAAAUAACUCCGAAAGCUCUCUGGCAUUCUUCGGCGGCUUCAUUCAUCUCAACCUUCGGCCUCCGUAGGCCGAAGCGUUGCCAAAUAGGGCGCAUAAUUAUACCUUUAAUAUCUUCCCAUGUUUUCAGGUCAUUCUUCACAUAAAACCAUUCUGUCAUCCAGUCGCCGGGCCAUCUCUUCCGAAAGGUUGGCACGGGGCAGCUUGACCCAGACCAAGAGACGAAACUGUAGCAGCCGAAAUUAUUGUGAUACUGCUCCUUACCCUAGGAUUUUGUCUCGUAUAACAAUUCGUGUAUGUUGCAGAAACUUUUCGCAUCAGGUUCCAGACCUUGGCUUCUCACGGCCCACACGAAGAUAUUCAACCUUAUGAUUGCUUCGGGAGUAAGUUGGUGAAGAUAGAUUUCAAAUAUUUUCAGCACCUCUACGACAAAGCUGCUCAGGGGAAAUCGUAGUCCAGCUUUCAAAAAGCUUCGGAAUACUACGACUUCAUUUUCCUCAGGGGUCGGACAAGUCUUCUCUACUUCGUCGGCCCUCACAACGGACAAGUCCCGGAAAUAUCUUCCCCUCAUGUUGACAAGAUGAUUUUCUUUGAUACUUGAUUUGCCGAAAACCGCAUGGCUUGGUCGCCAAGGGCGAUCUUCGGAGUCUUCACCACCACUAUCCGCAUCAUAACUGUCGCUGUCAUCAGUAUCUUCAGAUAAACCUUCUAAAAUCUCUUUGGUGAUCUUUUCUGUAUUGGUUUUCGACAUUGCUUCAAGAAACCCCAGGUUUUUCUCUUCAGAGAGACUCAGCUUCAUCUCGAUAGCAGCCUUUUUAUCUUCAGACAUCUUCAAAAAUGCUAAAAAACUGUUUUCAAAGCCGAAGCUUAAAACUUAAAAAGCUAAGCAAGUGUUGGUGCGCAAGAGCUAAAAAUCGAGUAACCAAGAGCAGAUGGCAAGAAAGCGUACCAACUGAGCUCGUGGUAUGCUCUUAUUUAUACGCCCGGUGCAUUGAAAAUUGGAAGACCCCGCUUGUCAGUAAAUGUUGCUAUUCUAGCAAAGGGAAGAUGUUUUUUCGGACCUUCGGCUUAAGGCCUUCGUCCAUGUCGCAAUCUAAAUUUAUCAUCCUAACAAAUUAAUAUUGCGAGGGGCUACUGUUGGGGGCCUUCGGCUUCCGAAGGUCCUCAAAAACAUAAUUUAACAAUGUUUCUGGAGUAUAAUGAAUGAACAGGUAUCUUCAGAUUCGAAUCGGUACCACAGUGGGAGAAGCCCAAAGAAUACGAAGGUUGACACAGCGCCGAAGCUGUGAGCAGGAAAGCUUCGGCGUGAUAGCAGAAAAGGAAACCGACUUAAAGAUGAAAAGGCUAUUCAGACCUCGGUGGAUUACUAUAGAAUUACUACCAAAUGUAAAGGGCAUGGGUGUAAUUUUACAUGGGCUGUGUCCCGUGCCUAUAAAUAGAUGAACAGUGCUCCUGUACUAUUCGGGCUGACUUGGCAUUUGCUUUUGAGUCACGCUUGUACUUUUACCUUCUUUUAAGCCGAAGGUACAUUUGUAAUUUGAUAUCUAUUCCUAUUCUUCCAUAAUAAUAAUAUAAAAAUGAGUUGAUAAUAAUAUAUAAUUGUUUACGUCAUCCUUUAUAUUUCAUAUGUUUUCUUCUUCAUUAUUAUGUGUUGUGUUUAUGAAGGUACGUCCUUCAUAACCUUCGUCCGAAAAUCAUUAUAUCCUCAAGGGAAAUAAUGCUUUGAAGGACGAAGGACUUUAACGUUUAACAUUUUUUGUGUUGCCUUGUUCUUAACUCAUAGCAUUUGAGAACAAGUCCCCAACAGGACCCCGAAGCGAUGGAUGAUGUUGGUGAAGAAUGCCACCGCCUGUUCGGACCUGAUGCUGUUUAGGGGUCUGACCUCUAUCCACUUGGAGAAUUUGUCGAUGGCGACCAGCAGGUGCGUGUAGCCCCCGGGUGCCUUCUGCAAGGGACCGACGAGGUCCAGACCCCACACAGCAAAUGGCCAGGUGAUGGGUAUCGUUUGUAGAGCCUGAGCGGGCAUGUGGGUCUACUUUGCGUAGAAUUGACACCCUUGGCAGGUGCGUACAAUCCUAGUGGCGUCGGCCGCCGCGGUUGGCCAGUAGAAACCCUGUCGGAAGGCGUUUCCAACAAGGGCUCGAGGCGCUGCGUGAUGACCGCAAGCCCCCGAGUGUAUUUCUUGCAAUAGUUCCUGACCUUCGGUGAUGGAUAUGGAUCGCUGGAGGAUGCUUGAGGGGCUGUAGUGGUAGAGCUCCUUUUCGUCACCCAGCAAGACGAACGACUUGGCGCGCCGCGCCAGUCGCCGAGCUUCGGUUCUAUCGAGGGGUAGCUCUCCUCGGUGGAGAUAUUGCAGGUACGGGGUCUUCCAGUUUCGAUUAGGCGUGACCCCAUUCCGCUCUUCCUCGACACGCAGUGCCUCACCCUCGGGGGCCGAGGGUGCCUCGGGCUGAGCCGAGGGCGCCUCGGGCAGGGCCGAGACCUUCUCAGGCUCGGGCGUGUCGUCGGUCUUGACUGAGGGUUGAUGUAGGUCUCGGGAGAAGGCGUCCGGAGGAACCGUUGUCCGCCCCGAGGCUAUCUUAGCCAGCUCGUCCGCAGUCUCGUUGUAUCGUCGGGCGAUGUGGUUGAGCUCGAGCCCAUAGAACUUGUCCUCUAGGCGUCGAACCUCAUCGCAGUAGGCUGCCAUCUUCGGGUCACGGCAAUGGGAGUUCUUCAUGACUUGGUCGAUGACAAGCUGCGAGUCGCCAUGAGCGUCGAGGCAUCGGACCCCUAGCUCGAUGGCGAUGUGCAACCCGUUAACCAGAGCCUCGUACUCGGCCACGUUGUUGGACGCUGGGAAAUGGAGGCGCAGCACGUAGCGGAGGUGCUUCCCGAGGGGCGAGAUGAAGAGCAGGCCCGCGCCCGCUCCUGUUUUCAUCAACGACCCGUCGAAAAACAUGGUCCAGAGUUCCGGUUGGAUUGGAGCUGCUGGGAGCUGGGUGUCGACCCAUUCAGCCAUAAAGUCCGCCAAGACUUGGGACUUGAUGGCCUUCCGAGGAGCGAACGAGAUUGUCUCGCCCAUGAUCUCCACCGCCCACUUUGCAAUCCUACCCGAGGCCUCUCGGCACUGGAUGAUCUCUCCCAGGGGAAAGGAUGACACCACAAUCACUGGAUGAGACUCGAAGUAGUGUCGCAACUUUCGUCGCGUCAGAAUUACCGCGUACAGUAGCUUCUGAAUUUGCGGGUAGCGGAUUUUGGUUUCGGACAGUACCUCACUGAUGAAGUAGACCGGCCUCUGGACGGGCAAUGCGUGCCCCUCUUCUCGUCUCUCGACCACGAUCGCGGCGCUGACCACCUGAGUGGUAGCGGUGACGUAGAUCAAGAGGGCUUCUCCGGCAGCGGGGGGCACCAAGAUGGGCGCGCUUGUAAGGAGCGCCUUUUGGUUCCCGAGGGCUUCCUCGGCCUUGAGGGUCCAAGUGAAGCGCUCGGUCUUCCUUAAGAGGCGGUACAGAGGUAGGCCUCUUUCGCCGAGGCGCGAGAUGAAACGGCUCAGAGCCGCAAGGCAUCCCAUGACCCUCUGUACUCCUUUCAAGUCCUUGAUGGGCCCCAUGUUGGUGAUGGCCGAGAUUUUCUCCGGGUUGGCCUCGAUGCCCCGCUCGGAGACGAUGAACCCCAGGAGCAUGCCUUGGGGGACUCCGAAGACACACUUCUCGGGAUUGAGUUUUACGCCUUUCGCCUUGAGACACUUCAAUGUCGUUUCAAGGUCGAAGAGGAGGUCGGAGGCUUUCCUCGUCUUGACUACGAUGUCAUCGACGUAAGCCUCGACCGUUCGACCAAUGUGCUCUCCAAACACGUGGUUCAUGCACCUUUGGUAUGUCGCACCCGCAUUCCUCAAACCGAAUGGCAUUGUAACGUAGCAGUACAUGCCAAAGGGUGUGAUGAAAGAAGUCGCGAGCUGGUCGGACUCUUUCAUCCUGAUUUGGUGAUACCCUGAGUAGGCAUCGAGGAAAGACAGGGUUUCGCACCCAGCAGUGGAAUCCACGAUUUGAUCGAUGCGAGGCAGAGGGUAGGGAACUUUUGGACAUGCUUUGUUUAGACCAGUGUAGUCUACACACAUCCGCCAUUUCCCUCCUUUCUUUCUCACAAGCACAGGGUUGGCAAGCCAUUCGGGAUGGAAUACCUCUUUGAUGAACCCUGCAGCCAUCAGCUUGUGGAUCUCCUCGCCUAUGGCUCUGCGCUUUUCUUCGUUGAAUCGGCGCAGAGGCUGCUUCACGGGUCGGGCUCCAGUUCGGAUAUCCAGCGAGUGCUCAGCGACAUCCCUCGGUAUGCCAGGCAUGUCCGAGGGACUCCACGCAAAAACUUCGGCGUUCGCGCGGAGAAAGUCGACGAGCACUGCUUCCUAUUUGGGGUCGAGCUCGGAGCCGAUCCGGAUCUGCUUGGAGGCGUCAUUGCUGGGGUCGAGAGGGACGGACUUAACCAUCUCAGCUGGCUCGAAGUUGCCGGCGUGGCGCUUCGCAUCUGGCGCCUCCUUGGAGAGGCUCUCCAGGUCGGCGAUGAGGGCCUCAAAUUCGGCGAGGGCCUCAGUGUACUCCACGCACUCCAUGUCGCAUUCGUAUGCGUGUCGGUACGUGGAGCCGACGGUGAUGACCCCGUUGGGGCCCGGUAUCUUGAGCUUGAGGUAGGUGUAGUUGGGGACGGCCAUGAACUUGGCGUAGCAUGGUCUCCCCAGCACUGCGUGGUAGGUUCCUCGGAACCCGACCACCUCGAACGUGAGGGUUUCCUUUCGGAAGUUGGAGGGAGUCCCGAAGCAGACGGGCAGAUCGAGUUGCCCAAGGGGUUGGACGCGUUUCCCAGGGAUGAUCCCGUGAAAGGGUGCCGUGCCGGCCCGGAUCGAGGAUAGAUCGAUCUGCAGGAGCCCGAGGGUCUCGGCGUAGAUGAUGUUGAGGCUGCUGCCUCCAUCCAUGAGGACCUUAGUAAGCCUGACGUUGCCGACGACGGGGUCGACAAUGAGCGGGUACUUCCCCGGGCUCGGCACGCGGUCGGGGUGGUUGCCCUGGUCAAAGGUGAUGGGCUUGUCGGACCAGUCUAGGUAGACUGGCGCCGCCACCCUCAUCGAGCAGACCUCCCGGCGUUCUUGCUUGCGGUGCCGAGCCGAGGCGUUCGCCACUUGCCAUCGUAGAUCAUGAAGCAAUCGUGGACCUCGGGGAACUCCUCUGCCUUGUGGCCCUCCUUCUUGUCAUUGUCGGGGGCUUUGCCUCCUUCCGCCGGUGGCCCGACCUUGUGGAAGUAGCGCCGAAGCAUGACGCACUCCUCAAGGGUGUGCUUGACGGGACCCUGAUGAUAGGGGCACGACUCCUUGAGCAUCUUGUCGAACAGGUUGGCACCUCCAGGAGGCUUUCGAGGGUUCCUGUGCUCGGCGGUGGCGACAAGAUCUGCGUUGGCGACGUCGCGUUUCGCUUGCGACUUCUUCUUGCCCUUCUUCUUGGUGCCGCGCUGAGCGGACUCCUCGGGGACCUCUUCCGGCUGGUGCCCCUGAGGCUGCUUGUCCUUCCGGAAGAUGGCCUCGACCGCCUCCUGACCAGAGGCGAACUUGGCGGCGAUGUCCAUCAGCUCGCUCGCCCUGGUGGGGGUUUUGCGACCCAACUUGCUCACCAGGUCACGGUAAGUGGUGCCGGCGAGGAACGCGCCGAUGACAUCUGAGUCGGUGAUGUUGGGCAGCUCCGUGCGCUGCUUCGAAAAUCGCCGGAUGUAGUCCCGCAGGGACUCUCCCGGCUGCUGGCGGCAGCUUUGGAGAUCCCAGGAGUUCCCAGGGCGCACGUAUGUGCCCUGGAAGUUGGCGGCGAAAGCUUUGACCAGGUCGUCCCAGUUGGAGAUCUGCGUAGGAGGCAGAUGCUCCAGCCAGGCUCGGGCGGCGUCGGAGAGGAACAGAGGAAGGUUGCGGAUGAUGAGGUUGUCAUCAUCCGUCCCACCCAGCUGGCAGGCCAGCCGGUAGUCUGCGAGCCACAGUUCCGACUUUGACUCCCCCGAGUACUUGGUGAUGGUAGUCGGGGUUCGGAACCGGGUCGGGAACGACGCCCGUCGCAUGGCCUGGCUGAAAGCUUGCGGACCGGGUGGUUCGGGCGAGGGGCUCCGAUCCUCCUCGCUGUCGUAGUGUCCCCCACGCCUGGGGUGGUAGCCUCGGCGCAUCUUCUCGUCGAGGUGGGCUCGAUGGUCGCGGCGGUGGUGCUCGUUGCUGAGGUGACCCGGGGCCGCAGGCACUGUGUCCCGCCUGCGCCCGGUGUGGACCGAGGCUUCCCGCAUGAAUCGGGAAGUCGCGGCGCGAUGUUCCUGGGGGUACCCUUGCCUUCGGGAGGCAGAGCUUUCGGCACGUUGGACCGCGGCAUCCUCCAGGAGAUUCUUGAGCUCUCCCUGGAUACGCCGCCCCUCGGUGGUGGAUGGUUCCGGCAUCGCUCGGAGUAGUAUUGCUGCUGCAGCCAGGUUCUGGCCGACCCCACUGGAGCCGGGCGUAGCCUUGCCCUGGCAUCGUCGGCGAUGCGGUGUUGGAUGUCCAGGGCCAAAUGACGAGCCCACUCCUACCCGAUAUUUUGCCGAAGCUGCACAAGUUGUCCUGCUUCCUCGUCGAGCCUGGCUUGUGCCUCGCGGAUUUGCUCGAGUUGUGCGUCCUGACCCCCCGCAGGGACUGGGACCACAGCUAGCUCCCGAAGGAUGUCAACGCGAGGCAUAGGCCUAGGGGGAUCGCCAUCCUCUGGCAUACCAAGAUGGUUGCCUUCGUCGAGACCCCCUAGAUCGACGUGGAAACAUUCGCGACUUGGGCCACAGUCCUCGUCGCCGAGGCUGUGGUUACUAUCGGAGCAAUCAGAGAGGCAGUAGUCACAUGCGGUCAUGAAGUCCCGCAUGGCACUGGGGUCAUCGAGCCCGAAGAAAUCCCAACCAGAGUCGGGCUCGUCAUCUUCCUCGGAACCCGAGGGCCCGUAGGUCGAGACGGCCGUUAGUCGGUCUCAGGUUGACCGCAUAUGAUACCCCGGAGGGUUUGGACAUGCCUUUAUGAAAGCGUCCACCGAAGCGGGGUCGCUGGGCGGGUCGCAGCUGAAUCUAAAAGGCAUGGGAUGGGAAACGGAUGAUACCUCUUGAUCGACGGGUGGUGACAAAGUCGCGUCAGGGACGGACUGCACCGUUGUCUCAGGUACGAGGCUAAUGCCCAGCAAGUCCUUCACGACCGUGCUGGCGUCGUUCGUCUGCUUGGGGUUGGCGUGUUGUGGGGAAACGACGCUCGUCUUCGUCUCAGACGCGAGGUCAACGCCCGACGUGUCCCCCGCUGGGGCGCCAGUGCCGUCGACUCGCUCGAUAGCCGACGAGGUGCCACCUCCUGCUUGGCCAUGCCUGCCCCGCCUCCUCCUCCGUCGGUGGGGAAGGUGACGGGACAGACCCGGAUGUUGCUUUUCCGCCACGUGGGGAAGACGUCGUCGAUUCCGCCGCCGGCGGGCGGGCUAACGGCCGCCAUUGUCGUUGUCGCGCGGCGGAGGAAGGUGUAUCAUGUCGUAGCUGUCGUCGAGGGACAUGAACUCAAGACUCCCGAAACGGAGCAUCGUCUCGGGUUGGAGAGGUUGCUGGAGACUACCCAUCUGGAGCUUGACGGGAAGUUGUUCGUCAACACGCAGCAUGCCCCUACCUGGCGCACCAACUGUCGGCGUUUCGACCCCGGGGGGUCCCUGGACCGACGAGUAAAUUGUCGCUACGUGUCCCAGCCCAGAUGGGUCGGCGCGAGACGGAACACAAGGGGGAGAAAAACAGCAAGGGGAAACCGCGGCCUCGUGUUGUCCUGCGCCCUGGGCGGAUGCGCUUGCAGUAGGGGGUUACAAGCGUUCGCGUGGGAGAGAGAGAGAGAGAGCCUUGUGCGUCGGCCCGUUCUCCCGCGUGGCCACCUUCUCGUGCGAGAGCCCUAGACCUUCCUUUUAUAGAUGUAAGGAGAGGGCCCAGGUGUAUAAUGGGGGUGUAGCAAUGUGCUAUUGUGUCUAGCAAAGGGGAGCCAGAUCCCUAUGUACAUGCCAUCGUGGCUGCUGGAGAGGUUUUGGCGCCCUGUUCAUGUGAUGUCGUGGCCGUCGGAGGAGCACUUGAGCCCCGUGGAAGUACAGCUGUCGGGGCUGUCGGAUCCUUGCUGACGUCUCCUUGCUUCUGUAAGGGGCUGAGAGCCGCCAUCGUCAUGGAGCACGUGGGGUGCCAUCAUUACUUGUUUACCGGGGCGAACCAGAUGGGACGCCGGUCUUGUUCCCCGUAGCCUGAGCUAGCUAGGAGUAGGGUAAUGAUGCCCCCCCUGCGACGUGGUCGGUCCGAGCCUGGGGUCGGGCGAGGCGGAGGCUCCUCCGAGGUCGAGGUUGAGUCCGAGCCCCAGGGGUCGGGCGAGGCGGAGACCGUCGUCCGGAGUCGAGGUUGAGUCCGAGCCCCGGGGGGUCGGGCGAGGCGGAGACCGUCGUCCGAGGUCGAGGUUGAGUCCGAGCCCCAGGGGUCAGGCGAGGCAGAGUCCGUCGUCCGAGGUCGAGGUCGAGUCCGAGCCCCAGGGGUCGGGCGAGGCAGAGUCUGUCGUCCGAGGUUGAGGUCGAGUCCGAGCCCUGGGGUCGGGCGAGGCGGAGACCGUCUUCCGAGGUCGAGGCUGAGUCCGAGCUCAUGGGUCGGGCGAGGCGGAGCUUCCUAUGGCGCCUGAGGCUGGUCUUGGCGGCUGUUAGCCUCACCCUGACGGGUGGCACAGUAGUCGGAGCAGUGCAGGCGGCGCUGUUUUCCUAUCAGGUCGGCCAGUGGAGGGGCGAAGUGACUGCGGUCACUUCGGCCUCAGGAUAAAGUGUCAGGCGAUCCUUGCAUUGAAUGCUCCUGCAAUACGGUCGGUUGGCGUAGCGAUCCGGCCAAGGUUGCUUCUCCGCGGAGCCUGCCCGACCUGGGCCUCGGGCGAGUCGAAGGUGCGUCCGUUGCUUGAGGAGACCCUCGGGCGAGGCGUGAAUCUGCCUUGGUCUACUGUUCCUGCCCGAGGCUGGGCUCGGGCGAGACGAGAUCGUGUCCCUUGAGUGGACGGAGCCUUGACCGGAAUCGCGCCCAUCAGGCCUUUGCAGCUUUGUGCUGAUGGGGGUUACCAGCUGAGAUUAGGAGUCUUGGGGAUACCCCUAAUUAUGGUCCCCGACAAAAACCUUCUCAUCAAAAUCUAGCAAGGAUGAGUACACUUAUAGUGGGUACUCAGCAAGUAGGGGGAAACAUGCAUAGCUAGCAAGUAUAGAUUGGGUGUUUAUGCAAUUAGCUUUAGUUGGUCAAACUUUUAUUAAGAACAUCUAUUCACUAAGUGUAAAUAUUUACCAAACCCCAUUAAUCAUAAGGUAACAUCAUCUUGAACCCACUUAAGUGAACCACUUGAGUCCAAAAAGUGCACAAUUUAUUCUUCAUCUUUAAGUUCAUUUAUCAUGUGAGGGUCCAAACUGCUCUUAACUAUGAGCACGGCUGAUAUAUCAGUUUUACACUCUACAGAGGUGUUACAAAUUUACCCACAAGUCGUGUAUCCCUUCUAUCCUAGGUUUGCAAGACCCGUAUUCACUACCGAGGUGAAUGGCUAUGGAUCCAUCGCAGGGUCUUCACAAAACAUACUUAGUACAAAGCCACCCGCUAAGGUUCCCACGUCAGUAUUGGUGACCCUCAGAGUGAGGUACCUUAGCCAAGAAUACAACCCCAUGUUAAUGUGAGCUGCCACCAAACUACUACCACCCCCUCUUGUCCAUAUUUUAGGUAGGGUUGCUAAGAACUAAGCAUAUUAAGUUAAUUACCAAAGCCAGAGCCAUGAUACCACUCAUGAUUGCACAAUUAUCUUGGGUGGUCACUCCAUGUUCCAAUUAACUCAUAUGAUCUUGUUAAUUAUCAACAACGUAACUUCAACUUUGGAACAUGAGCAUCAUUAAAGAGAGUGGCAUCGUCAAACUUAGUUAAAAGCAGUAACACACUAUUAUAGCAAAGCAUAACUCCUAGCUUGAACAAGGUAUUAGGGUUGGUAAAUACUAUGCAUUGCUAAUAGGUAAUCCCUUCAAAUUAUGCAUAUCACAAAAAAGUAAACUUAGUUGUCAUGGCGCAAUUGUGAUCAAAUAGAAUAUGUAGGGGCAGAAAGUCCACUUGCUUUCUUCACAAAAUUCCUAAGGUUCUCCUUUAAACUGAUCUUGAUUCUCUAUCACAGAAGCGUCUUCUAAUAGCAAACAUACAAAAUAAAGAAAAUAUACAGCAUUCAGUAAAACAUACAACAUUCAAUAAACAAAAGAAGGUAUAAAUAGUUAUAUAAAAUAAAUCAAAUUUUAGUUAUGGUAAAACCGUUGUAAAAACUAUCCUAAAAGGUUUGGGAUGGUUUUAGGAAAUUAUCAAAACAAAAACCAACUUGUUUGGAUCUAAACAUUGGUAGCACCGCAGGGGCAUCUUUAAUUGAAAUUCCUGAAAUUAUUAAGAAAGAUGCUUCUACUUCUUGCUUUGAUUUAAUUUAUGAUUCUAACCCCUGCAACCAAGUUCUUGUUGAGAAUAUUGUUGUAGAAAUAUAUUCGGAUGAGGUUGCAAAGGAAAAUGAGCAAUUAAGGCAAGAAGUGGCUCGCCUUGGCAAGGCUUUGUAUGACAAGAAAUGCAAAGCCAAACAAAUCCAACCUCCAUAGGAUAACACCACUGCGGGAGUGACGAGCCUAUGGAGGGCAAAACCGUGAUUUGUAGGUUAUGCCACAAGGAAGGCCAUAAGUUUUUCCAAUGCAAGGCAAUGACCGGGGAUAAGCAAAGGCAAAAGCUCAAGCAAAAGCCAACAAGCAAAAUUUCCAAUACCUACAUCAACAAGAUGGACAAAAAACCUGCUACACCAUAUUUGAUCAAGAAGAAAAAGAAUGGAAAGGUGAUAGCAAUCAAGGCCAACAAGCAAGCCAACAAAGGAAAGGUGGCCAAACGCAUCUGGGUGCCAAAUGAAAUAAUUACUAGGCAACACCGUGCGCUCCUCGCCCUGACCAUCUAAAGAGGGCUCGCCCUCAUCUACAAUAAGGGGAGUCGAUGACACUUUGUCUAAAAGCACAAAGUACGCCAACUCGUCCUCAAUAUCUGAAGAUGCCUCCUGAUGAGGACACCACUCCCAUACAAACAAUGCAUGGACCGACAACAUGAGCAUGUGCAUGACAACUAAAUCUCUAGGUUCGUUCUUACCAAGUCAAUUGUGUUUUAGAGCUGACGCUUGGUGCCAUGGAUGUUUUGAUGAUUAGGAAUCUUAAAGGACCAGCAAGUACUUGGGAAAGGACAAGAUGUCAAGGAGGAGAAACUAGGAUGUUCACAACAAGAGAAAACCAAGUAUGACUCAACUUUGUCUCCACCUUGGAGUUCAAGACUAGUCUGCACUAAAAUAGACGCCCAUGAUGCAUCCAAAAUCCGAUUAGGUUGGGCUUUAUAUGGAUGGAAGCUAAGGAGGUAAGAUUUCCAACCCAACUAGAACCACCUUAAAAUCAUUCGGAGUCAAGGGAAAUCGUCAAAACAAAACAACAUUCAGAUUCUUUUUUGGUUCUUCGACACCGUCUGUUGUGAUAUUGGGUCGUGUAUCGUGUUGGAGCCCAUUAGGGGAGCGACCAGGGGUCACACAUGUCCCUAAACUCUAUUUUAUCAGCAGUAGUCACCACAUUUGGGUUUGGGUUUUGCUUAGAUCAUGUCUGUCGUCGAACAGUGUCGUCGUUCAUCUGUUUGUGAGACCCCACCUCGUGAUCAAUGCAGUUUUGAUUACGUUCUUCCUGUUCUUGCUUGUGUUCUUGAUUGCGCUUGCAAGGAUAAGCCUUCAUGGAAAGGUCACUCGUAUGUUACAUGUGACAACCAAUGGAGUAGUGGUGUAGUGAUUGCGAGGAUCCGCUCACUCAGAGCCUUGGAUCAUGAACGUAGAAAUCUCCACCCAAUCAAGUUAUCCUACCACACGGAAGAUCAGGCCUUGCUUCCUAUCAAGUGGUAUCAAGAUUUAGGUUGCCUGUGAGGUAUAAUCCUACCUUUAGAUUUGCUUUGUUCAUCCUAUAACCCACAAAAAAGCUAAAGAGAAAAGAGUCCUAACAUUAGAUCAUAUCUUUAAAAUCAUUAGUGUAUCCUGACCUACAAACUUUGCCUUAGCCUUUGCACAAUGCAAACCAUCCUCAUCUGGAUCCUUCUCCUUGACUUUGAAAUCCACGAACAUGAAGAAGGCAUGUGGCACCAUAAAGCUGGUCGCCGGUUCAUGUUGGAGCAAGGAUGGACCUACCCCUCGAUCACAACCCCCUAUAUUUACUAACUCGCUGCCUAAGUGUUCGACGCAGAGCUGUCGAUUGGUGAAAAGGUGAAGUCCGGCUUCGAGGAUGAAGCCUUUGUUCGUAGACUAUCACAGGAGUCGAAGGCCACUUUCCUCAGGAACCGCAGUAGAUGGGCCUUCGACUGGCAAGGGGCCGACCUGCCAAGGCUAACGAAAGGCGAAGGCCACAACAGUGCCCACCAUUAGGCGAGGACCACAUGGUCGCACUCCUAGGUGAAGGCUGUGCAAAUGCGAAGGCUUCAAGACAGCGUCCAGGACUUAGCGACUAUGGACAAGCACUAAACUACUCUAGGCCCACCUAUCAGCGACUGAUGAGGGUGUCGAUUUUGUUGUAACAGGGAAACUUGUACUUGUAGCCCUGUAAUUACCCCAUUGUACAUUGUAUGUCGGGAAUAUAGAUGGUGGCCGGGGGUAAAACUAUACUUAGGUCCACCAACUCCCGGCUACCCCUAUAAAUACCUCUGUCUUAUAGAUGGACAGGACACACUUGACAAGAAAUUUACGCUCCUAGCUUACUUAUAUGUCGUGUCAUCGGUUUUUCAUCCUCACAGUAUCCUAUAUUUUCUGAACAAUAAAGGGCCCAAGUUAACGAAUCUAUUUUAGAAUAGAGACAUAUAUUGUAGCUAUUAAUUCUAUCGGCGAUUUACCGUGACAAUGAAGCAUGCUCUAUGCACUAAUCUGUAAUGGAAUACUGUCGGCGUUUCGACCCCGGGGGGUCCCUGGACCGACGAGUAAAUUGUCGUCGCGUGCCCUAGCCCAGAUGGGUCGGCGCGAGACGGAGCGCGAAGGGGGGGAAAAGCCAGAGGGAGACAGGCGUAAAAGGGGAAACCCGCGACCUUCGUGUUUGUCCCGCGCCUAGGUCGGGUGCGCUUGCAGUAGGGGGUUACAAGCGUCCGCGCGGGAGGGAGCAAGAGGCCUGUGCUCGCGCCGUCCCGUCCUUCCCCGCGCGGCCAACCCUCCGUAAGAGGGCCCUGGACCUUCCUUUUAUAGGCGUAAGGAGAGGGUCCAGGUGUACAAUGGGAGAUGUAGCAGUGUGCUAAUGUGUCUAGCAGAGAAGAGCUAGUGCCCUAAGUACAUGCCAUCAUGGCAGCCGGAGAGGUUUUGGCACCCUGUUCGUGUGGUGUCGUGGCCGUCGGAGGAGCGCUGGAGCCUGGCGGAAGGAUAUCUGUCGGGGCUGUCGAGUCCUUGCUGACGUCUCCUUGCUUCCAUAAGGGGGCUGAGAGCCGCCGUCGUCAUGGAGCAUGUGGUGCGCCAUCAUUACUUGUUUACCAGGGCGAGCCAGAUGGGACGCCGGUCUUGUUCCCCGUAGCUUGAGUUAGCUUGGGGUAGGGUAAUGAUGGCGCCUCCUGUGACGUGGUCGGUCCGAGCCCUGGGUUGGGCGAGGCGGAGGCUCCUCCGAGGUCGAGGUCGAGUUUGUCUUCCGAGGCCGAGGUCGAGUCCGAGCCCCUGGGUCGGGCGAGGCGGAGACCAUCGGCUGAGGCCAGGGCUAAGUCCGAGCCCUGGGGUCGGGCGAGGCGGAGUUCGUCGUCUUCCGGGGCCGAGCCCGAGUCCGAGCCCUGGGAUCGAGCGAGGCGGAGUUCGUCGUCUUCCGGGGCUGAGCCCGAGGUCGAGCCCUGGGAUCGGGCGAGGCGGAGAUCGUCGUCUUCCGGGGCUGAGCCCGAGUCCGAGCCCUGGGGUCGGGCGAGGCGGAGUUCGUCGUCUUCCGGGGCUGAGCCCGAGUCCGAGCCCUGGGGUCGGGCGAGGCGGAGUUCGUCGUCUUCCGGGGCUGAGCCCGAGUCUAAGCCCUAGGGUCGGGCGAGGCGGAGCUUCCUAUGGCGCCCAGGGCCGGACUUGGCCGCUGUCAGCCUCACUCUGUCGAGUGGCACAGCAGUCGGAGUGGCACAGGCGGCGCUGUCCUCUUGUCAGGCCGGUCAGUGGAGCGGCGAAGUGACUGCGGUCACUUCGGCUCUGUUGACUGAAGGGUGCGCGUCAGGAUAAGGUGUCAGGCCAUCCUUGCAUUAAAUGCCCCUGCGAUACGGUCGGUCGUCAUGGCGAUUUGGCCAAGGUUGCUUCUUGGCGAAGACUGGGCCUCGGGCGAGCCGAAGGUGUGUCUGUUGCUUGAGGGGGCCCUCGGGCGAGACGUAAAUCCUCCGGGGUCGGCUGCCCUUGCCCGAGGCUGGGCUCGGGCGAGGCGAGAUUGUGUCCCUUGAGCGGACCGAGCCUUGACUUAAUCGCACCCAUCAGGCCUUUGCAGCUUUGUGCUGAUAGGGGUUACCAGCUGAGAUUAGGAGUCUUGGGGGUACCCCUAAUUAUGGUCCCCGACAGUAGCCCCCGAGCCUCGAAGGGAGUGUUAAUACUCGCUUGGAGGCUUUUGUCGCACUUUUUUGCAAGGGGACCGGCCUUUCUCGGUUGCGUUUUGUUCUGAUGGCUGCGCGCGAGCGCACCCGCCGGGUGUAGCCCCUGAGACCUCGGAGGAGUGGUUUGACUCCUUCGAGGUCUUAAUGCGUUUCGCGAUGCUUCGGCCGGUCCGGUUGUUCCCUCAUGCGAGCUGGCCGUAGCCCGGGUGCACGGUCGGGUCCCAAGUUCUCGGGCUGGUAUGUUGACGCUGUCAACGGUUUGGCCGGAGCCGGGUUUGCGAGAGCAGCCCUUGAGCCUCCGCACAGAGCGAGAGGACGGUCAAGGACAGACUCGACUUUUUUACAUACGCCCUUGCGUCGCCUUUUCGCAAGGAGGAGGGGGGGAAAGCGCCAUGUUGCCCUUGGAGGGUGCCGAACAUGGUGUCUCCAGUGAGCUGCUAACGGGUAAUCCGAGUGGACGCCCAUGCCCCAUUUGUUAGGGGUCGGCUAGUGGCCCGGAGGCGCGCUCCAAAAGUACCUAUGGUGAUUUGCCGGACCCGGUCCCCUUUUGACGUGGUCCGAUGGCUCGAUGCCUCCCUCUGAUGGGAUUCCGUUACAAAAUCGUUCCCGUUGGUCUCGGAAAUGUCCUAGGGUACCUCGGGAGCGUAGCCCGAGCCUUGGUUAUGUAUCGAACGUACCCAGGGUCAUCGCUCGCUCUGUGUCUGAGGCGGCUGUCGAACCCUUUUGGGGGCCAGCCUACGAACCCCUGAUCAGUAAUGGGUGCGGAGCCCGAGUGGCCUGAGGCGGCCGUUGAACCCUUCCGAGGGGCCGGCCUUCGAACCUCUGACCAGUAGUGGGCGCGGAGCCCGAGCGCUCUGAGGCGGCUGUUGAAUCCCUCCGAGGGGCCAGCCUUCGAACCUCUGAUCAGUAGGGGGGCUCGGGGCCCGCUUCCUUCGCGGAGAAGGAUCCCUUUCGAGGUAUCCCCUUUCCCGGUCCCUAUUGUAAGAGAGAGAAAGAGGAAGAGGAAAAGGAUACGAAAUCGAAUGACGUGGCGCACCUUUUUUGACGUGGUCAUUAUGGCGGAGGUGAAGCGUCGCCUGCUUUGCCUGCCAAAGGCGCCGCAGAGUUAAUGCGACGGGACGAGUGGUUCGUGGGGCAGCCGUUGUGCGUGCGUGAGCCGUUCGAGGAACGGGACACAGGCACGCCGUCUUCACGCCGUAGGAGAGGGUUCUCUCGCUGUCCCAGGAGGGGACGUGAGCGUGGCUGGCGACUUGACCGCUGCUUCCGCCCGCCUGCCACCGCCAUUACUGUCAGCCCAUUUUUGGCCGUAUCGACCGUCACGCCUUCUCCCGCGGCUGACUGACCUGUGACCGAUGUGCCGGGUUGGCACUGUUGGGUCGUGCGCAGGGUUGCCUCGAGUCGCGGUACUGGUUCCGCAGUCGAGGAGGCACGGUAGUGGCGCGAGUGGCGGUGCAGUUUCUUGCACGUAGCAACCGGCGCACCGGUUACAUGACUUGUGGGCCUGGGCCACCAUGCUGGACCCGUUGAAGUCAAAAGGGUGCGCCCCCUUGGUGCGGUCGCAUGCCGCCUGCAUGGCGGUCCGCCCUUUCACCCGCUGGUCUGGGCGAAAGUGGAGGAAUGCUUGUAACCGCUGGGCAGUUGCGCGCACCUCGCGCGGCGGUUUGGCUUCUUCUGCCCUGGGCCAGCUUGCAUGACGCGUGGGACCCAGCCCCCGUGUCGUCGGGGGAGGACCUUGGAGCGUGUUGGAGAAGACUCAGCCCACGAUGGCUGAGAACGCAAGUGGGGAGAGUUGCCUUUAAAAGGAGGGUGACCCCCUUGAAAGGCAACCAUGUCUUCGCGCUCCCCUUAUGCAUCGCGUCUUUCCACCUUCCGAGCCCCCGGAUGGGGAACACUCAUAGUCUUUCCACCUUGUCGUCGGAGGAACGCAACUUCGCGGAAGUUGGUACCUUUCAGCCAUCGUUCGGCUUCAAGGAUUUUCAUCAGGCAGCCCGGCCGCAUCCCCUCACCAGUGGUCACCCAAGACGGUGACCACCAGUUCGAUGGUGGGGAGAAGCGAGCCGGGCUGCGAUCUUGGUCCCGCCCUCAGCUUCAAGGAUCUUCAUCAUCCUUGCUGGGGCGGAGAGCGAGGUGAGCCGGGGCUCUACCUCCCGCACGGGUCGGCUGGCCACCUCUUCUUCCAGCUUCUGGUGGUGGAAACCAUCCUCCAGCUCUACGGAGGAGGCGUCCUCCAGCCAUGCCGGGGAAGGCAAACUGUUGCUGCCCAGCUAGGAUGCAACAUUCCGUCCUCCUCCUCGCUUUCGUGGCGAGGACGGGAGCGAGGACCUGCCGGUGCGCUUUGGAGCGGUCCACGCUCGCCGGUGCGGCGUUGGUGGAGAGGCGGACGCCACCAUCGGUGCUGACGUGGUGGCAGCUGGAGGAAGCUUCCCCACCGUCGAGGCCAUCAGCGCCGCCUACGGACCGACCUCCGGCUCUUUGGCUUUAAUGUCUGGUUCGCAUCCCUUGAGUGGGGACACGAACGAGAGCCUUCUCGUGGCUGCGUCCGUCCUAGGACCAUGGCUGCUGCUGCAGAGGUCGCUAGCGAGUCGCCCGGAGCUUGUCGCCCCAUAGGCCCCCCGGUGUGGAGGUUGUUCAUACCCGCGGGGACGGAACCGGAGUUCCGUUUGUAAUGGCAACUUGAGUGCCGGUGUCUGUUCAUUGUGGCUGUCGGGGCCUGAAUACGUAUGUAUCUUCGGCACGGAGCCAUGUUUUUUCCUCAUUUCGAGCACUAGGACUCGCGUGUCGGCUAACUGAACCGCUUAACCAAGUGUGAGUUGCCUUGUGCGAAGGUGACGAGUGAGGUAUCCGUAUCCCGGAGGCGUAGGAGUCCCUCGGCUCGGUCGGCCUUGCCGCCCGAGGCUUCUCUUGCUUAGUUAAAGGAAACCCUCGGCCGCUCUUCGAUGAGCCAAAGCUGGAGGCAGCGGUGUCAGCACGGACAGAGGCGGAGUUGGCUCGAAAAGAUGACUUCGUUGGCCGAAGCCUGGCCGGGCCGUCCACUGGCGGGACCGACGCCGGAGUCGAGUUGCCGAGGCCACGAGCCGGGCUGAUGUCCUCGGGGGAAGCUGGCUGAGGCUUCAGGGUGGCCGGCCAAGCUGUCUGCUCGAGCCGGAUUCCUGGAGAAGACCCUGGCAGCGAUGGCCCGGGCGCGGUGCUGAUGUCGUCCUUCGGAGUGGAGAUCCUCCGACCGCGUUGCCGUCCGAGGCUAGGUCGGACUUCGCCGAAGGUGUUGUUGACGCCGAGGGUGCUGCUGCUCCCCCUCCGUCGAGGUCCGAGCCUGCAGGAUCGGUUUAUCUUGUAGUGUGCGUAUGUUUUCUGCGGCCGCCGAGGCCCAAACAUACUGUCGGCAUGUUGUAAAGCUGCGUUUCUUUUCCUCUUGUUUCGAGUAUCUGGACUUAUUUGUCGGUAACAGAAUUGUUUGUCCGAGCGAGAGUUACUUUUCACGGAAGGUGAUGAGUGAGGUAUCCGUAUCCCGGAGGCGUAGGAGUCCCUCGGCUCGGUCGGCCUUGCCGCUUACGUGUACUCUUACUAGUCCGUAGGAUUCUACUAUCGAUAUAGUCGAGAAGGCCCGAAAAAUCAUUUCGGCAGAAGAGUUUUCGAGCGUGAAGACUUGUUCGUUCCGCGGAAUCACUUAUCCGAGCGUGAGUUACUUAUCGCAGAAGGUGAUGAGUGAGGUAUCCGUAUCCCGGAGGCAUAGGAGUCCCUCGGCUCGGUCAGCCUUGGUUGCUUACGUGUACUCCGUCGUUUUCAGGAUCCCACUUUCGAAGUAGUCGAAAGGCACGAAAGACAUUCUGGCAGAAAAGAUCUUUUCCGAGGAAAAUUUUGGCGCGGAGGGGGUUCCCCCCUUCUAGCCCCCGAGGGAGGGUCGGGCUUUGCCGAGGCAAGGCUGACCCUUCCUUGAUGGUUAUACUUUGUGUGUGAAUGAGGUGUACGAACGACUUGAAAGCAUCUUAAGGGUAGAAGAGACGUAGCUGUCGGAUGUUCCAAGCGUUGCUGUAGACCUCGCCUUGACUGUUGGCCAGCUUGUACGUCCCGGGCUUCAGAACCUUGGCGAUGACGAACGGCCCUUCCCAGGGAGGCGUGAGCUUGUGCCGCCCUCAAGCGUCUUGUCGCAGCCGAAGCACCAGGUCGCCCACCUGGAGGUCUCGGGACCGAACCCCUCGGGCGUGGUAGCGUCGCAGGGACUGCUGGUACCGCACCGAGUGUAGUAAGGCCAUGUCCCGAGCCUCUUCCAGCUGGUCCAGUGAGUCUUCUCGGUUAGCUCGAUUGCUUUGGUUGUCGUAGGCCCUCGCCCUCGGAGAACCGUAUUCUAAGUCUGUGGGCAAGAUGGCCUCGGCCCCAUAGACUAGAAAGAACGGUGUGAAGCCCGUGGCUCGGCUCGGCGUUGUCCUCAAACUCCAGACCACCGAGGGGAGCUCCUUCAUCCAUCGCCUGCCGAACUUGUUGAGGUCAUUGUAGAUCCGUGGCUUGAGUCCUUGCAGAAUCAUGCCGUUGGCACGUUCUACUUGCCCAUUCGUCAUGGGGUGAGCCACGGCGGCCCAGUCCACCCGGAUGUGAUGAUCCUCGUAGAAGUCCAGGAACUUUCUGCCGGUGAACUGGGUGCUGUUGUCGGUGAUGAUGGAGUUCGGGACCUCAAAGCGAUGGAUGAUGUUGGUGAAGAACGCCACCGCCUGUUCGGACCUGAUGCUGUUUAGGGGUCGGACCUCGAUCCACUUGGAGAAUUUGUCGAUGGCGACCAGCAGGUGCGUGUAGCCCCCGAGUGCCUUCUGCAAGGGGCCGACGAGGUCCAGACCCCACACAGCAAACGACCAGGUGAUGGGUAUCGUCUGCAGAGCCUGAGCGGGCAGAUGGGUCUAUCUUGCGUAGAAUUGACACCCUUGGCAGCUGCGGACAAUUCUAGUGGCGUCGGCCACCACGGUCAGCCAGUAGAAACCUUGUCGGAAGGCGUUUCCAACAAGGGCUCGAGGCGCUGCGUGAUGACCGCAAGCCCCCGAGUGUAUUUCUUGUAAGAGCUCCUGGCCUUCGGCGAUGGAUAUGCAUCGCUGGAGGAUGCCCGAGGGGCUGCGGUGGUAGAGCUCCUUCCCGUCCCCAGCAAGACGAACGACUUGGCGCGCCGCGCCAACCGCCGAGCUUCGGCUCGGUCGAGGGGUAGCUCUUAUCGAUGGAGAUAUUGCAGGUAUGGGGUCUGCCAGUUUCGAUUAGGCGCGACCCCGCUCCGCUCCUCCUCGACGCGCAGUGCCUCACCCUCGGGGGCCGAGGGUGCCUCGGGCUGAGCCAAGGGUGCCUCGGGCUGAGCCGAGGCCUUCUCGGGCUCGGACGCGUCGUCGGUCUUGACGGAGGGUUGAUGCAGGUCUCGGGAGAAGAUGUCCGGGGGAACUGUUGUCCGCCCCGAGGCUAUCUUAGCCAGCUUGUCCGCAGUCUCGUUGUAUCGUCGGGCAAUGUGGUUGAGCUCGAGCCCGUAGAACUUGUCUUCCUGGCGCCGAACCUCAUCGCAGUAGGCUUCCAUCUUUGGGUCACGGCAGUGGGAGUUCUUCAUGACUUGGUCGAUGACGAGCUUCGAGUCACCGCGAGCGUCGAGGCAUCGGACCCCUAGCUCGAUGGCGAUGCACAACCCGUUGACCAGAGCCUCGUACUCGGCCACAUUGUUGGACGCCGGGAAAUGGAGGCGCAGCACGUAGCGUAGGUGCUUCCCGAGGCGCGAGAUGAAGAGCAGGCCCGCGCCUGCCCCUGUCUUCAUCAGCGACCCAUCGAAAAACAUGGUCCAGAGUUCCAGUUGGAUCGGAGCUGUUGGGAGCUGGGUAUCGACCCAUUCAGCCACAAAGUCCGCCAAGACUUGGGACUUGAUGGCCUUCCGAGGGGCGAACGAGAUUGUCUUGCCCAUGAUUUCCACCGCCCACUUUGCGAUCCUACCCGAGGCUUCUCGGCACUGGAUGAUCUCCCCCAGGGGGAAGGACGACACCACAGUUACCGGAUGAGACUCGAAGUAGUGUCGCAACUUUCGCCGUGUCAGGAUCACUGUGUACAGCAGCUUCUGAAUUUGUGGGUAGCGGAUCUUGGUCUCAGAAAGUACCUCACUGAUGAAGUAGACUGGCCUCUGGACGGGCAAUGCAUGCCCCUCUUCUCGUCUCUCAACCACGAUCGCGGCGCUGACCACCUGAGUGGUAGCGGCGACGUAGAUCAAGAGGGCUUCUCCGGCAGCGGGGGGGCACCAAGAUGGGCGCGUUUGUGAGGAGCGCCUUCAGGUUCCCGAGGGCUUCCUCGGCCUCAGGGGUCCAAGUGAAGCACUCGGCCUUUCUUAAGAGGCGGUACAGAGGCAGGCCUCUUUCGCCGAGGCGCGAGAUGAAACGGCUCAGAGCCGCAAGGCAUCCCGUGACCCUCUGUACGCCUUUCAAGUCGUUGAUGGGUCCCAUGUUGGUGAUGGCCGCGAUUUUCUCUGGGUUGGCCUCGAUGCCCCGCACGGAGACGAUGAACCCCAAGAGCAUGCCUCGGGGGACUCCGAAAAUGCACUUCUCAGGGUUGAGUUUUACGCCUUUCGCCUUGAGACACCGGAAUGUCGCUUCAAGGUCGGAAAGGAGGUCAGAGGCUUUCCUCGUCUUGACUAUGAUGUCACCGACGUAAGCCUCGACCGUUCGACCGAUGUGUUCGCCGAACACGUGGUUCAUGCACCUUUGGUAUGUCGCACCCGCAUUCCUCAAACCAAACGGCAUGGUAACAUAGCAGUACAUGCCGAAAGGAGUGAUGAAAGAAGUCGCGAGCUGGUCAGACUCUUUCAUCCUGAUUUGGUGAUACCCUGAGUAGGCAUCGAGGAAAGACAGGGUUUCGCACCCAGCAGUGGAAUCCAUGAUUUGAUCGGUGCGAGGCAGAGGGUAGGGAACUUUUGGACAUGCUUUGUUUAGACCAGUGUAGUCUACACACAUCCGCCAUUUCCCUCCUUUCUUUCUCACAAGCACAGGGUUGGCGAGCCAUUCGGGAUGGAAUACCUCUUUGAUGAACCCCGCCGCCAUUAGCUUGUGGAUCUCCUCGCCUAUGGCUCUACGCUUUUCUUCGUCGAAUCGGCGGAGAGGCUGCUUCACGGGUCGGGCUCCAGCUCGGAUGUCCAGCGAGUGCUCGGCGACAUCCCUCGGUAUGCCGGGCAUGUCCGAGGGACUCCACGUGAAAACGUCAGCGUUUGCGCGGAGAAAGUCGACGAGCACUGCUUCCUAUUUGGGAUCGAGCUCGGAGCCGAUCUGGAUCUGCUUGGAAGCGUCGUUGCUGGGGUUGAGUGGGACGGACUUAACCGUCUCCGCUGGCUCGAAGUUGCCAGCAUGGCGCUUCACGUUUGGCGCCUCCUUGGAGAGGCUUUCCAGGUCGGCGAUGAGGGCCUCGGAUUCGGCGAGGGCCUUGGCGUACUCCACGCACUCCACGUCUCAUUCGUACGCGUGUCGAUACGUGGGGCCGACAGUGAUGACCCCGUUGGGGCCCGACAUCUUGAGCUUGAGGUAGGUGUAGUUGGGGACGGCCAUGAACUUGGCAUAGCAUGGCCUCCCCAACACUGCGUGGUAGGUCCCUCGGAACCCGACCACCUCGAAUGUGAGGGUUUCCCUUCGGAAGUUGGAGGGAGUCCCGAAGCAGACGGGUAGAUCGAGUUGUCCGAGGGGCUCGACGCGUUUCCCGGGGAUGAUCCCGUGGAAAGGCACCGCGCCUGCCCAGACCGAGGACAAAUCGAUCCGUAGGAGCCCGAGGGUCUCGGCGUAGAUGAUGUUGAGGCUACUGCCCCCGUCCAUGAGGACCUUGGGGAGCCUGACGUUGCCGAUGACGGGGUCGACAACGAGCGGGUAUUUCCCCGGGCUUGGCACGCGGUCGGGGUGGUCGCCCUGGUCAAUGUGAUGGGCUUGUCGGACCAGUCUAGGUAGACUGGCGCCGCCACCUUUACCGAGCAGACCUCCCGACGCUCUUGCUUGCGGUGCCGAGCUGAGGCGUUCGCCACUUGCCCACCGUAGAUCAUGAAGCAGUCGUGGACCUCGGGGAACUCUCCUGCCUUGUGAUCCUCCUUCUUAUCAUCGUCGCGGGCCCUGCCACCUUCCACAGGUGGCUCGGCCUUGUGAAAGUGGCACCGAAGCAUGGCGCACUCCUCAAGGGUGUGCUUGACGGGCCACUGAUGAUAGGGGCACGGCUCCUUGAGCAUCUUGUCGAAGAGAUUGGCGCCUCCGGGAGGUUUCCGAGGGUUCUUGUACUCAGCGGCGGCGACAAGGUCCGCGUCGGCGGCGUCGUGUUUCGCUUGCGACUUCUUCCUGCCUUUCUUCUUGGUGCCGCGCUGAGUGGACGCCUCGGGGACAUCUUCCGGCUGGCGGCCCUGGGGCUGCUUGUCCUUCUGGAAGAUGGCCUCAACCGCCUCCUGGCCAUAGGCGAACUUGGUGGCGAUGUCCAUCAGCUCGCUCGCCCUGGUGGGGGUCUUGCGACCCAUCUUACUCACCAGGUCGCGGCAGGUGGUGCCGGCGAGGAACGCGCCGAUGACAUCCGAGUCGGUGACAUUGGGCAGCUCGGUGCGCUGCUUCGAGAAUCGCCGGAUGUAGUCCUGGAGAGACUCUCCUGUCUGCUGGCGGCAGCUUCGGAGAUCCCAGGAGUUCCCAGGGCACACGUACGUGCCCUGGAAGUUGCCGGCGAAGGCUUGGACCAGGUCGUCCCAGUUGGAGAUCUGCCCCGGAGGCAAAUGCUCUAGCCAGGCCCGAGCGGUAUCGGAGAGGAACAGGGGGAGGUUGCGGAUGAUGAGGUUGUCAUCGUCCGUUCCACCCAGGUGGUAGGCCAGCCAGUAGUCCGCGAGCCACAGUUCCGGCCUCGUCUCCCCUGAGUACUUUGUGAUAGUAGUCGGGGUCCGGAACCAGGUCGGGAACGGCGCCCGUCGUAUGGCCCGGCUGAAAGCCUACAGCCCGGGUGGUUCGGGCGAGGGACUCCGAUCCUCCCCGCUGUCGUAGCGUCCCCACGCCUAGGGUGGUAGCCUCAGCACACCUUCUCGUCGAGGUGGGCUUGACGGUUGCGGUGAUGGUGCUCGUUGCCGAGGCGACCUGGGGCCGCAGGCGCUGUGUUGCGCGUGCGCCCGGUGUGAACCGAGGCUUCCCGCAUGAAUCGGGAAGUCGCGGCGCGAUGCUCCGAGGGGUACCCCUACCUUCGGGAGGCAGAGCUUUCAGCCCGUCGGACCGCGGCAUCCUCCAGGAGAUUCUUGAGCUCUCCCUGGAUACGCCACCCCUUAGUGGUUGAUGGUUCCGGCAUCGCGCAGAGAAGUAUUGCCGCUGCAGCCAGGUUCUGGCUGACCCCACUGGAAGCCAGUGGCGGCCUUGCCCUGACAUCGUCGGCGAUGCGGUGCUGGAUGCCCAGGGGUAGAUGACGCGCUUCUCUAGCCGGAGGUUGGCCUGCCCAUUCCAGCCCGAUGUCCCUGUGGAACGGCUCAAGUGUUCCUACUCCCUCGUCGAGCCUGGCCUGUAUCUCGUGGAUUUGCUCGAGCUGUGAGUCCUGACCCCCCACAGGGACUGGGACCACAGCUAGCUCCCGAAGGAUGUCAACGCGAGGCGCAGGCCUAGGGGGAUCACCGUUUUCCGGUAUACCAAGAUGGUUGCCUUCGCCGGGACCCCCUAGAUCGACGUGGAAACAUUCACGACUUGGGUCGUAGUCCUCGUUGUCGAAGCUGCGGCUACCGUCGGAACAAUCGGAAAGGCAGUAGUCGCAUGCGGUCUUGAAGUCCCGCAUGGCACUGGGGUUACCAAGUCCGGAGAAAUCCCAACAAAAGUCGGGGUCGUCAUCUUCCUUGGAACCCGAGGGCCCGUAGGUCGAGACGGCUGUCAACCGGUCCCAGGGUGACUGCAUACCGUACCCCGGAGGGUUUGGACUCGCCUCUAUGAAAGCGUCCACCGAAGCGAAGUCGCUUGGUGGGUCGAGGCUGAAUCCAAAAGGCUCGAGAUGGAAAUCGGUCGGUACCUCUUGGUCGGCGGGCAGUGACGAAGUCACGUCAGAGGCAGACUGCACCGUCGUCUCAGGUAUGAGGGUGACGCCCAACAAGCCCUUCAAGAGCGUGCUGGCGUCAUCCGUUCUCUUGGAGUUGGCGUGUUGCGGGGAAACGGCGCUCGUCUUCGUCUCAGACGCGCGGUCGAUGCCCGACGUGUCCCCCGUUGGGGCGCCGGCGCUGUCGACUCGCUCGACAGCCGACGAGGUGCCGCCUCCUGCUUGGCCUUUGUUGCCCCGCCUCCUCCUCCGUCGACGGGGGAGGCGACGGGACAAACCCGAAUGUUGUUCUUCCGCCACGUGGCGAAGACGUCGUCGAUUCCGCCGCCGGCGGGCGGGUUGUCGGCCGCCAUUGUCGUUGUCGCGUGGCGGGGGAAGGAGUAUCAUGUCGUAGCUGCCAUCGAGGGACAUGAACUCAAGACUCCCGAAACGGAGCACCGUUCCGGGCUGGAAAGGUUGCUGGAGACUACCCAUCUGGAGCUUGACGGGAAGCUGUUCGUCAACACGCAGCAGGCCCCUACCUGGCGCGCCAACUGUCGGCGUUUCGACCCUGGGGGGUCCCUGGACCGACGAGUAAAUUGUCGCCGCGUGCCCCAGCCCAGAUGGGUCGGCGCGAGACAGAGUGCGAAGGGGGGGAAAAAGCCAGAGGGAGACAGGCGUAAAAGGGGAAACCCGCGGCCUUCGUGUUUGUCCCGCGCCCAGGUCGGGUGCGCUUGCAGUAGGGGGUUACAAGCGUCCGCGCGGGAGGGAGCGAGAGGCCUGUACGCGCGCCGUUUCGUCCUUCCCCGCGCGGCCAACCCUCCGUAAGAGGGCCCUGGACCUUCCUUUUAUAGGCGUAAGGAGAGGGUCCAGGUGUACAAUGGGAGGUGUAGCAGUGUGCUAACGUGUCUAGCAGAGAAGAGCUAGUGCCCUAAGUACAUGCCGUCGUGGCAGCCGGAGAGGUUUUGGCACCCUGUUCGUGUGGUGUCGUGGCCGUCGGAGGAGCGCUAGAGCCUGGUGGAAGGACAGCUGUCGGGGCUGUCGAGUCCUUGCUGACGUAUCCUUGCUUCCGUAAGGGGGCUGAGAGCCGCCGUCGUCAUGGAGCAUGCGGGGCGCCAUCAUUACUUGUUUACCGGGGCGAGCCAGAUGGGAUGCCGGUCUUGUUCCCCGUAGCCUGAGUUAGCUUGGGGUAGGGUAAUGAUGGCGCCUCCUGUGACGUGGUCGGUCCGAGCCCUGGGUUGGGCGAGGCGGAGGCUCCUCCGAGGUCGAGGUCGAGUCUGUCUUCCGAGGCCGAGGUCGAGUCCGAGCCCCUGGGUCGGGCGAGGCGGAGACCAUCGGCUGAGGCCAGGGCUGAGUCCGAGCCCUGGGGUCGGGCGAGGCGGAGUUCGUCGUCUUCCGGGGCCGAGCCUGAGUCCGAGCCCUGGGGUUGGGCGAGGCGGAGUUCGUCUUCCGGGGCCGAGCCCGAGUCCGAGCCCUGGGAUCGGGCGAGGCGGAGUUCGUCGUCUUCUGGUGCUGAGCCCGAGUCCGAGCCCUGGGAUCGGGCGAGGCAGAGUUCGUCGUCUCUUGGGGCUGAGCCCGAGUCCGAGCCCUGGGGUCGGGCGAGGUGGAGUUCGUCGUCUUCCGGGGCCGAGACCGAGUCCGAGCCCUGGGGUCGGGCGAGGCGGAGUUUGUCGUCUUGCGGGGCCGAGCCCGAGUCCGAGCCCUGGGAUCGGGCGAGGCGGAGUUCGUCGUCUUCCGGGGCCGAGCCCGAGUCCGAGCCCUGGGAUCGGGCGAGGCGGAGUUCGUCGUCUUCCGGGGCUAAGCCCGAGUCCGAGCCCUAGGAUCGGGCGAGGCGGAGUUCGUCGUCUUCCGGGGCUGAGCCCGAGUCCGAGCCCUGGGGUCGGGCGAGGCGGAGUUCGUCGUCUUCCGGGGCUGAGCCCAAGUCCGAGCCCUGGGGGUCGGGCGACGCGGAGUUCGUCGUCUUCCGGGGCUAAGCCCGAGUCUGAGCCCUAGGGUCGGGCGAGGCAGAGCUUCCUAUGGCGCCCGGGGCCGGACUUGGCCGUUGUCAGCCUCACUCUGUCGAGUGGCACAGCAGUCGGAGCGGCGCAGGCGGCGCUGUCCUCUUGUCAGGCCGGUCAGUGGAGCGGCGAAGUGACUGCGGUCACUUCGGCUCUGUCGACUGAAGGGCGCGCGUCAGGAUAAGGUGUCAGGCCAUCCUUACAUUAAAUGCCCCUGCGAUACGGUCGGUCGUCGUGGCGAUUUGGCCAAGGUUGCUUCUUGGCGAAGACUGGGCCUCGGGCGAGCCGAAGGUGUGUCCGUUGCUUGAGGGGGCCCUCGUGCGAGACGUAAAUCCUCCGGGGUCGGCUGCCCUUGCCCGAGGCUGGGCUCGGGCGAGGCGAGAUCGUGUCCCUUGAGCGAACCGAGCCUUGACUUAAUGGCACCCAUCAGGCCUUUGCAGCUUUAUGCUGAUGGGGAUUACCAGCUGAGAUUAGGAGUCUUGGGGGUACUCCUAAUUAUGGUCCCCGACAAAUACGAAAUAAUUAAAAAUGUAUAAAGUUAAAAAUAUAAGAUGGCAUCAAGGGAAAAAUAUUAGAAUUAAUCUCCACUAGUAUGACCAAUGCCAAUUGGGCCUUUGACGACAUCGCGACCUGGGGGCGUUUAGCAUAAGACAAGGCUGGUGGGCUCCCGUUGCGUAGCCCUAUACAAGACAAGGAGUGGGGACUAGUGGCUUAGGUUAAGAGGUUGGGAGCAGCUGCCUACAGUUCUCCACCUGAAACCCUAGACCGAUUUAGAUCGAGCGAGAUUGUCAAUAAUUGGAAGUUCAUUACCUUCACCGCCACUACUUCGAGCUUGUUUCCCUAACCGUUGCUACCAUAACGCAGAGUUUUACCGACAAACAAAAUGGUGUGACGCCAAGAUUUAAUCAAUUUAUCAAGGAUUCCAAAGUUAAUAUGGAUUGUUAUAAAAUUAACCUAUGACUGAACAUAGUAAUCAUGCAUGUCGUGCAACAAAAAAAAAUGGCAACACGUAUUUUAACACUCACUCUAUAUAUUAGGAUUGCUGUCACUAUCGUUGACAUCUACUCGUGCCUCGAGCAAGGCCAUCCAAGUUUCCAUAUAGUAAGAAAGCUAGAAUAUAUGCUGCUAUCCAAUUAGAGAAUAAGAUGUCCUGGAACAACAACAAAAAAAAGGAAAAAAUGAUACGGUUCUCUCUACGAGAUACAUGUAUAAAUAGAUGUUCCAUGGAAGGAGCACAACAGACCAGUCACAGAAGCUACCAAGCUAGCUAGAGGUGACAAGCAGAGCAGAAGCCUUACAUGUCAAUAAGGGCCUGCCUCUGAUAGCCAAGGAUGACUUGCCUAUGUCCUUUGUUUACAAAGGAUCAGAAUUGUGGACCUUUGUGUUGGUUCGUAGGCAGUCUCCUUGGCUAGCCUGAGUGGCCCCUAUUGCUCAUGCUAGGCUCAAUCGAGACUCUUUGACUUGCUGCACACAAUUAGACACAGGAGCCUCCUCGACCUGUGCAUGGGUGCAUACAAUUACCGUGUGAUUGGUUGCCCAGCUCUCAACGCCUAGGCUCCUCACGAGUGUUGACUGCGCCUGCAUUUCUGAUUGGUUGGCUGCACGGCUGCGCCCGGAAUGUGCGGGUGCAAGCAAAUCUAUUUUACGCUCCUCGGCGGCUGCCGGCAACCAAUCAAGAGGUUAGACACGACCUUUGUCAUAUGCAUGUAGCUGUGUUUCAGUGUCCAUGCAUGCUCCAUUCCUAGCAUUUUCUGUUUGAAAGGGCAGUAUAGCGUGCCAGUUUCUCUGGAAACAAUCAGCAGCACACAAUGUUCUUGACCUGAUUUUUUUAUCUAUGCAUGCACAUGCACGCUGCAGAAUACGUACGGAUCUAUAGUAUGACCAGCAUUUUGAAACAGCAUCAUGCCUUAAUUGGUUCUCUCAGCUUUUGCUAUUUCAGUCACAUGAACUUUUUUAUCUUUCAGAGCCAGUUGAUCCCUUAAACCCGGAAACUUUUGCAAGAACAUAUAUAGAUCGCUAAACAGGACCUGAUAUAACUGCAACUUUUAGCUAGUUUACCUGCAUCAUGUCUUUGUUCAUCUUGGGGGUGAAAAACAGCUAGCAUCCAGUUUUAACUUGUGGUCUUUUGCCAUGUGCGUUAAUAAAAACGAAAGGGCCUAAAGUAGAGCAGAUUAACAUUUCGGUGUCUCGCCAAUUUGCAGAAAGAUGCUUCAGGCGGAGAGUUUCACUGCUCAUCGUGUCUACUGAUCUAUUGUUAUGUUGCUCGCCAGCCCCUUUGGUCACCGAAGUCCAAACCCUAAAGCUGUUCAACAAAGAGUUGUACUCCCUCCCUCGGUUCCAAAAUAAAAUUCGUUUUAACUUUUUAAUUGAUUCAUACAAUAAUUGAUAUAUUUGUUAUAUAUAUAUAUAUAUAUAUAUAUAUAUAUAUAUAUAUAUAUAUAUAUAUAUAUAUAUAUAUAUAAAACUAAUAUUUUAGAACGGGGGAGUAACAUUUACAAACUCACACAAGUCACAUGAGAUGAGAUCCAAGAAAGAGGUGUAUGUUAUGUGACAUUCCAAGAGCUAGAAAUGUAUUUUAAAAGUUCAUGGAUCUAAGUUACAUCCCUUGACAAAUUUAGUUCCGUUUAUCAAUUGAACUCAUAUUAAAAUCAGAUGAUCUAAUCUCAUGCCACCAUCAAAGAAGGCACUUGCCAUAUAGACAUGGGUAUUUUCAAAUGUAUACCAAGUAAUACAUAUAAUUAUAAAUUCAUGUAUAUGUAGCAAUCCACUCGCUCGCGGCAGCUAGGGCUAGACAAAAUACUCAUGACUCAUUAGCUUGGUCUGCCUCGACUCGACUUGUUUCAGUUUUGUCACGAACUAAGCUAGCAUCUAAUCUUGGUUUGUUAACGAGCUACCAUUUGUCAGCAAAACAAAUCCUCCAUAUAUAUUGGGUGAACUAAAAAGUGAUUGGAUGUAUUAAUUUGGUGUUGAAUUGAUGAGAUAUAUGAAAUUACGUGUGUACCCUUUUCUAGUGUUGUUGGCGUUUCGACCCCGGGGGGUCCCUGGACCAAAGAGUAAAAUUGUCGCUGCGUGCCCCAGCCCAGAUGGGUUGGCGCGAGAUGGAACACAAGGGGGGAAAACCGCGGCUCGUGUUAUCCUGCGCCAGGGGGAUGCGCUUGCAGUAGGGGUUACAAGCGUUCGCGAGGGAGAGAGAGAGAGUGAGCAUGUUCGUCAGCCCGUCCUCCCGCGCGACCCUCCUGCAUGAGUGCCCUAGACCUUCCUUUUAUAGAAGCCAGGAGAGGGUCCAGGUGUACAAUGGGGGUGUAGCUAUGCGCUAACGUGUCCGGCAGAGAGGUGACAGAGCCCUGUGUACAUGCCAACGUGGCUGUCGGAGAGGUGCUAGAGCCCUGUGUACGCGGUGUCGUGGCCGUCGGAGGAGCGCCCGAGUCCUGUAGAAGCACAGCUGUCGGGGCCCCUGGGAUGUUGCUGAUGUCUCCUUGCUUCCGUAGGGGGCUGAGAACCACCGUCGUCAUGGACGCACGCGGGGAGCCAUCAUUACCUACUACCAGGGCAAGCCUGGAUGGGACGCCGGUCUUGUUCCCCCAUAGCCUGAGCUAGCUAGGGGUAGGGUAAUGAUGUAUCCCCCGCGGUGCGGUCGGUCCGAGCCCAAGGUCGGGCGAGGCGGAGACUCCUUCUGAGGCCGAGGCCAGGGUCGAGUGAGGACGUGAUUCCUCCCGAGGUCGGGGUUGAGGCCGAGCCCUGGGGUCGGGCGAGGCGGAGACCUCCUCCUGAGGCCGAGGCCCAAGGUCGGGCGAGGCGGAGCUUCCUGUUGCGCCUGAGGUUGGACUUAGCUGUUGUCAGCCUCACCCUGCGGGUGGCACAGCAGUCGGAGAGGGGCGAGCGGCGCUGUUUUCCUGUCAGGUCGGUCAGUGGGAGGGCGAAGUGACUGCGGUCACUUCGACCUUGCCGACUGAGGCACGUAUGUCAGGAUAAGGCGUCAGGCGAUCCUCGCAUUGAAUGCGCCUGCAAUACGGUCGGUUGGUGAGGCGAUUUGGCCAAGGUUGCUUCACAACGAAGCCUGCCCGAGCUGGGCUUCGGGUGAGUCGAGGGUGCGCCCGUUGCUUGAGGAGGCCCUCGGGCGAGGCGUGAAUUCGCCUGGGACUACUGUUCCCGCCCGAGGCUGGGCUCGGGCGAGGCGAGAUCGCGUCCCUUGAGUAGACGAAGCCUUGACCUGAAUUGCGCCCAUCAGUCUCUGCAGCUUGUGCUGAUGGUGGUUACCAGUCGUGUUUAGGACUGUUGGGGGUACCCCUAAUUACGGUACCCGAUAGUAGCCCCCGAGCCUCGAAGGGAGUGUUGGUACUCGCUUGGAGGCUUUGCCGCACUUUUUUGCAAGGGGACCGGCCUUUCUCGGUUACACUUUGUUCCGGUGGGUGUAGCCCCCGAGGCCUCGGAGGAGGGGUUUGACUCCUCUGAGGUCUUAAUGCUUUUCGUGAUGCCUCGGCCGGUCUGGAUGUUCCCUCAUGCGAUCUGAUUGUAGCUCGGGUGCAUGGUCAGGUUCCGAGUUCUCAGGCUGGUUUGUUGACGCUGUCAAUGGUUUGGCCGUAGCCGGGUUUGCGAGAGCAGCCCCCGAGCCUCUGCACGGAGCGAGAGGACGAUCAAGGACUGUCUCGACUUUUAUCAUACGCCCCUCCGUCGCCUUUCCGCAAGGAGGAAGGGGGGAAGCGCCAUGUUGCCCUCGGAGGGCGCCGAACAUGGUGUCUCCAGUGAGUUGCAAACGGGUGAUCCGAGUGGACACCCGUGCCCCGUUCGAUAAGGGUCGGCUAGUGGCCUAGAGGCGCGCUCCAAAAGUACCUGCAGGUGAUUUGUCAGACCUAGUCCCGUUCGAUAGGGUCCGAGGGUUCGAUGCCUCCCUCUGGUGGGAUUCCGUUACAAAAUCGCUCCUACUGGUCUCGGAAAUGUCCUAGGGUACCUCGGGAGCGUAGCCCGAGCCUCGGCCAUGUAACGGACGUACCCAGAGUCAUCUCUCGCUCUGCGUGCUCUGGGGCGGCUGUCGAACCCUUCCGAGGGGCCAGCCUUCGAACCACUGAUCAGUAGUGGGCGCGGAGCCCGAGUGCUCUGAGGCGGCUGUCGAACCCUUCCGAGGGGCCAGCCUUCGAACCUCUGAUCAGUAAUGAGCCUGAAGCCCAAGUGCUCUGGGGCGGCUGUCGAACCCUUCCGAGGAGCCAUCCUUCGAACCCCUGAUUAGUAGGAGGGCUCGGGGCCCGCUUCCUUCACGGAGAAGGAUCCCUUUCGAAAUAUCCCCUUUCCCGGUCCCUGUAGCAAGAGAGAGAAAGGGGAAGAGGAAAAGGAUAUGAAUUUAAACGGUGUGGCACACCUUUUUUGACGCGGUCAUCAUGGCGGAGGUGAAACGACGCCUGCUUCGCCUGCCAAAGGUGGCGCUUGCCCUGCCAAGGAGUUAAUGCGAUGGGACGGGCGGUUCGCGGGGCAGCUGUUGCGCGUGCGCAAGUCGUUCGAGGAACGGGUGUUUCGCCUUCGAGUUUGAAUUUCGCGGCGGGUUCGGGCGAAGUGUUGAACGGAUCUCGCCCGGGCCUUUAUAUACCCGGAAGAGGGGCCGGCGGUGGUUCUUUACUCCGCUGCUCGCCUUCUGCUUUAGUUUCCGCAACCUAAGAGAAUAGCCAGAGAAAAGAAAAUCAUGCACCUUGUCCCCUCCGCCUCCACCCCCUUCGUUCGGCGAUGGCCGACAGGGUGACCGUCGUUUCGCCGCGCGAUCUGUGGCCUCUCUCCACCGUCACGGUGGACGAUCUGGAGGCCCUCGUCACCGAUGGUUUGCUCUGUCCCCUCUCCGGUGACCCGCAGCCAGAGUGGAUGGUCCCUACGAACGAGGCCAUCCCGACUCCGCCGCCGGGGUAUGUGGUUAGUUUCGUCUCCUUCCACGAGCGGGGGUUCGGAGUGCCAGCGAGCCGUUUCAUGCGGGCGCUCCUGCACUACUACGGGGUGGAGCUGCACAACUUCAACCCCAACUCCAUUGCGCAAGCGGCCAUCUUCGCGGCGGUUUGCGAGGGUUUUUUGGGGAUUGACCCCCACUGGGAUCUUUGGACCCAUCUCUUCUCCGUGGAGCUUUUUGCCUUGACGACAAGGGAAAAGAAGGUCCGCGUGGUGGUGCGGGCCGGUGGCUGCACCCUCCAGUUGAGGCAGGGGCGCGCGCAGCAGUACAUCCCCGCCAUCCUUGUGUCUUCGAACAAGGGGUGGCAGCGCCGGUGGUUUUACCUCUAGAACAACAACGAAAGGCUCCCGUCGUUUUCUCAACGAGUGGUGACUGCCGAUGGCAGCAACUGGCGCUGGGGGGCCAUGCGCGAGAAACAGGAGAAACUCCAGCCCCUUCUGGAGGCCUUGCAGAAGUUACCAGAUGGGGGGCUCACCGCCGUGGGGGUGGUUGCCGCCAUCCAUCGCCGGAGGGUGCUUCCCUUGGCAGAGCGGCGGUUGCCGCUUUCGGAGAUGAAGCCGGGGGUUGACUUGGAGGGUUCGCAGACGUCCUCGGCCUCCCUCUCUGUCGACGACCUGCGUAGGCGGGUAGCGGGCACGGUAGGGAGGCUGGAUGCCGGUGCCCUUACCCUGCCCGUAUUGCGUCCCGAGCAUGGGUACGUGUCCCUGGUGAGUGUCCGCUCCUUCUCCUAUCUUGUGCCGGGUUGCCUUUGAUUCUUACCGUCGGGAUUUCCGUUUGUCUCUAGGAGUUGGGGUUUUACAAGCCCUCUCUGCCACCGGUCCCGGAGGAUGCGGUGGACCGAGCCGCGCGGAGGGUCGCCGCGGAGAAGAAGAAGGAGAAGAAGGACACGGAAAGGCCCGGGCUCGUGAGCGGAUGCGGGCUCGGGACGCCUUGGAGAGGCGCCGUCGGAGGCAGGAGAGGGACGGGCUCCCGAGGGAGCCGUCGCCGGAGACGCCUGACGACGAUGAUGAUGACGAUGAUGACGAGGACGACGACAUGGCGGCCCGCCUUGGCCUUAGCCCAGAUCUGAGGCUAGGCCAGGGGUCGUUGAUCCAGCCUCCAAGUGGGCUGGAGCCAUCGGUAUCUGGGGCCGGGACAUCAAGGUCCCAGUCCGAGGAGCGGGGACAGGCUGAGGGGGUACUUGACCCCUUGGCCGAGGUAGUUGAGGUGACUCCGGGGAGUCAAGCCAACCCGCCUGUCCCCCAAGAGCAGUCGCCCAUGCCGGCUGUACAGGAGGUUGAUCCUCGGGCCGUCGUGAUGGCGCCUGGGCAGGCCAUCCCUUCGGCGCCCCGGGCGUCCGAGGCGGGAACGGCGCCGAAGCCGGCAGCGGGGCAAACCUCGGCAGUGCCUGCGGGGACCGAGGCCCGAGGGGCCUCCCCGCAGGCACGAUUGGCCUUGGUCCGGAGCGGGUAAGUAUCUGAGGAUAGCUCUGUUUUGGCUCUUUCUCCGUGUGUCCUGAUCCUGCUUUAUCUCUUCCUUUCAGCAAACGGAGGCAAGGUUCGGCCGGUCUGGCCCCCCGGAAGGCCCUUAAGACAGUGCCGGCCUCUGCAGCCAGUGCCGCAGCGCGCCACGCUGGUUGGCUGGCCUCCGCACAAGACGCCCUCGAGCGGGGGGCCCAGGCGGCACGAGUUGCCUUGGGGCAAGCCUCCUAGGCUGACCCCUUCAUCGGGGCGGCCAUCGUGUUGGGGGAGCCUGCUGGCGUGGCCGCGGCCCCGAGCCCACCUGACGUGUUGCCGGCACCGGCACCAGCUCCUGCCGAGGCCGUCGCUGUUUUGCCCAUGGAGCCACCCGUCGCUGUUGAUGCCAGGAUGGCUGAGGUGCCGCUGCUCGAGGUCAUCUCCGACCUUCCCAGUCUCGGCCAUAAGGAGAGGGCGGCCGCCGUUGCCGAGGUCGGUGAUCGGAAGCCCGCCUCCUUAGCCGAGGGGAGGCCCAGUACGUCGUCAGCGAUGGUACCCGAUGCGUCGACUGCAGGGGGUCCCGACGCCUUGGAGGAGGGGCACGCAGAACCGCGACCCUUCUUGGGGUGCGGCGACCUUAUCCCCGUGCGGUGCGACCCCAAUGAGUGGUGUGGGCAGGCGCUCCGGUUCUGGACCCGUGGCGCCUCGAAACCCCUCUUUGUCCUUGACGACGAGCGGGAGGAGCAGUCUCGGGACGAGCUCCGUGAGUAUGCCGAGGCGGCGAUGGGGUUGCUUCGGUCGACCAUGGAGAUCCUUUCCAGGGACGUUCCCAGGGUCCUCCAGGUAAGGAUUUUAGGCAUACCUUUCGCGUGACUAGGGCAUUCUUUGUAACACCCUGCUUCCCUUCCUCAGGCACUGACGGAUGUGAGCACCGCCAAGUCGUUGUUCAUCCGCCGCGAGACCGACGUCUGGGGUUCGCUGCGGUUCCUGAGGGUCGCGCUUGCCGAGGCUAAUGAACGCCUCGCCCAACGGAGCACCAAGGUGGCGGACCUUCGGCUACUCUGUGAUGAGCUGGAGGUGGAGGCAGACGUGGCGCGAGCAGAGGCGGUGUCGGCACGAACGGAGGCACAUCAGCGGCAGUUGGAGCUUGGCCAGGUCAUUAGCGAGCGGGACCAAUCUCGGAGCCAGGCUGCCGAGGCUGUAGGCCGGGCUGAGGCCCUUGGGGGUCAGCUAACCGAGGUGUCUGCUCGGGCCGGAGCCCUUGCGGAGGCCUGGCCGUGGCCGUCGGGUCUGCUCAGUCCGCCCAAGCCGCAGCCUCGGAGCAGCGUGCCCGGGCUGAAGGUAUGUUUCGGUCGCUUUGUGACUUCGAUUCAGCUUCAUUCUUCAACUCGUGUCUGAAGAAUUCUGUUUGGCUGUCUGCAGAGUUCGAGAUAGAUCUUAACGAGUCCGUCAAGGCACUUGCCCAGGCGGCUGAGCAGAAGGAGGCCGACCGCGUGGCCAUGUCCGAGGCUAUCUCGGUCUUUUGCCAGGUCUUUGGCCUCGAUGACGUCCCCUCGGGUAGCUCCCCCCAGAGUCGCCUGCGGGCCUUGGGUGGCCAUGUGCGCAACAGACUCCGCGGGGCGCUGCAUCACAGCGUUAGGUGGGCCUUCGCCGUGCUCGCUUCCCACUACGACAUGGAUCUGGAGCGGGUCAGCGAGGGGUACUGUCUACCCGACAAAGAUGAGGCUGCCUUAGCCGAGGUUCAGAGGCUUGACGCGGCCAUCACGGGCCCAAGCGCGGAGUUGGCGUCCUCCUUCGAGGUGGAGAUCCUUCCACUUGCGUCGCCAUCUGGGGCCGGGACAGAUCUCGCCGAGGGUGGAGACGAUGUCGAGGGUGCCGCUCCUCCCCGAGGCGAUGUCUGAUUCUACCGGAGCAGUCUGUUUGGAGCAUGCAUGUGUUUAUCAUGGCCGCCAAGGCCUAAACACCUUAUUGUCGUGUUAUAAAGCUGUGUUUCUUUUCCUCUCGUUUCGAGUAUCCGGACUUGUUCGUCAGUAGCAGAAUCGCUUAUCCGAGCAAGAGUUACUUUUCGCGAAAGGUGACGAGUGAGGUAUCUGUAUCUCGGAGGCGUAGGAGUCCCUCGGCUCGGUCGGCCUUGCCGCUUAUGUGUGCUCUUACUCGUUUUGCAGGAUUCUGUUAUCGAUAUAGUCGGAAAGCACGAAAGUCGUUUUGGUAGAAAACUUUUUCGAGGAAAAUUUUGACGUAGAGGGGGUUCCCCCUUCUAGCCCCCGAGGGAGGGUCGGGCUUCGCCGAGGCAAGGCUGACCCUUCCUUGACGGUUAGACUCUAUUUGUGUAUGUAAAGAGAACGAGGUAUAUGAACGACUUGAAACAUCUUAAGGGUAAAAGCGACGUAGUUGUCGGAUGUUCCAAGCGUUGCUGUAGACCUCGCCUUGAUCGUUGGCCAGCUUGUAUGUUCCGGGCUUCAAAAUCUUGGCGAUGAUGAACGGCCCUUCCCAGGGAGGAGUAAGCUUGUGGUGCCCUCGGGUGUCCUGCCGCAGCCGAAGUACCAAGUCUCCCACCUGGAAGCCUCGGGCCGAACCCCUCAGUCGUGGUAGCGUCGCAGAGACUGCUGAUACCGCGUCGAGUGUAGUAAGGCCAUGUCCCGAGCCUCGUCGAGCUGGUCUAGUGAGUCUUCUCGGCUGGUCUGGUUGCUUUGGUCGUCGUACGCCCUUGUCCUCAGGGAACCGUAUUCUAAGUCUGUGGGCAAGAUAGCCUCGGCCCCAUAGACUAGAAAGAACGGUGAGAAACUCGUGGCUCGGCUUGGUGUCGUCCUCAGACUCCAGACCACUGAGGGUAGUUCCUUCAUCCACCGCUUGCCGAACUAGUUGAGGUCGUUGUAGAUCCUCGAUUUAAGUCCCUGCAGAAGCAUACCGUUGGCACGCUCCACCUGCCCAUUCGUCAUGGGGUGAGCUACGGCGGCCCAGUCCACAUAGAUGUGGUGGUCCUCGUAGAAGUCCAGGAACUUAUUCCCAGUGAACUGGGUGCCAUUGUCGGUGAUGAUGGAGUUCGGGACCCCAAAGCGAUGGAUGAUGUUGGUGAAGAACGCCACCGCCUGCUCGGACCUGAUGCUGGUUAGGGGUCGGACCUCGAUCCACUUGGAGAAUUUGUCAAUGGCGACCAGCAGGUGCGAGAAGCCCCCGGGUGCCUUCUGCAAGAGACCAACGAGGUCCAUACCCCACACAGCAAACGGCCAGGUGAUGGGUAUUGUCUACAGGGCCUGAGCAGGCAGGUGUGUCUGUCUCGCAUAGAAUUGACACCCUUGGCAGGAGCGUACAAUCCUAGUGGCGUCGUCCACCACGGUCGGCCAGUAGAAGCCUUGUCGGAAGGCGUUCCCAACGAGGGCUCGAGGUGCUGCAUGGUGACCGCAAGCCCCCGAGUGUAUCUCUUGCAAUAGCUCCUGUCCUUCGGCGACGGAUAUGCAUCGUUGGAGGAUGCAUGAGGGGCUGCGGUGGUAGAGCUCCUUUUCAUCACCCGGUAAGACGAACGACUUGGCGCACCACGCCAGUCGCUGAGCUUCGGCCUUGUCGAGGGGUAGCUCUCCUUGGUGGAGAUAUUGCAGGUACGGGGUCUGCCAGUUUCGAUUAGGCGUGACCCCACUCCACUCUUCCUCGACGCGUAGUGCCUCACCCUCGGCGGCCGAGGAUACCUCGGGCUAGGCCGAGGCCUCCUCGGGCUCGGGCGUGUCGUCGGUCUUGACGGAGGGUUGAUGUAUGUCUCUGGAGAAGACGUCCGGGGGAACCGUUGUCCACCCCGAGGCUAUUUUAGCCAGCUCAUCCGCAGUCUCAUUGUACUGUCGAGCGAUGUGGUUGAGCUCGAGCCCAUAGAACUUGUCUUCCAGGCGCCGAACUUUAUCGCAGUAGGCCUCCAUCUUCGGGUCGCGGCAGUGGGAGUUCUUCAUGACUUGGUCAAUGACAAGCUGCGAGUCGCCACGAGCGUCAAGAUGCCAAACCCCUAGCUCAAUGGCGAUGCGCAACCCGUUAACCAGAGCCUCGUACUCGGCCACAUUGUUUGACACCUGGAAAUGGAGGCGCAGCACGUAGCGGAGAUGUUUCCCGAGGGGCGAGAUGAAGAGCAGGCCCGCGCCGGCUCCUGUUUUCAUCAGCGACCCAUCGAAGUACAUGGUCUAGAGUUCCGGUUGGACCGGAGCUGUUGGUAGCUGGGUGUCGACCCAUUCAGCCACGAAGUCCACCAAGACUUGGGACUUGAUGGCCUUCCGGGGAGUGAACGAGAUUGUCUCGCCCAUGAUCUCCACCGCCCACUUUGCAAUCCUACCUGAGGCCUCUCAGCCCUGGAUGAUCUCCCCCAGGGGGAAGGAUGACACCACAGUCACUGGAUGAGACUCGAAGUAGUGUCGCAACUUUCGCCGCGUCAGAAUUACCGCGUACAGUAGCUUCUGAAUUUGCGGGUAGCGGAUCUUGGUCUUAGAUAGCACUUCACUGAUGAAGUAGACCGGCCUCUGGACGAGCAGUGCAUGCCCUUCUUCUCGUCUCUCGACUACGAUCGCGACGCUGACCACCUGAGUGGUUGCGGCUAUGUAUAUCAAGAGGGCUUCUCCUGCAGCGGGGGGCACCAAGAUGGGCGCAUUUGUAAGGAGCGCCUUUAAGUUUCCGAGGGCUUCCUCGGCCUCGGGAGUCCAAGUGAAGCGCUCGGUCUUCCUUAAGAGGCGGUACAAGGGUAGGCCUUUUUCGCCAAGACGCGAGAUGAAGCGACUCAGAGCCGCAAGGCAUCCCAUGACCCUUUGUACUCCUUUCAAAUCUUUGAUAGGCCCAUGUUGGUGAUGGCCGCGAUUUUCUCCGGGUUGGCCUCGAUGCCCCGCUCGGAGACGAUGAACCCUAGGAGCAUGCCUCGGGGGACUCCAAAGACACACUUCUCGGGGUUGAGUUCACGCCCUUUGCUCUCAAACACUUGAAUGUCGUUUCAAGGUCAGAGAGGAGGUCGGAGGCUUUCCUCGUCUUGACCAUGAUGUCAUCGACGUAAGCCUCGACCAUUCGGCCGAUGUGCUCUCCGAACACGUGGUUCAUGCACCUUUGGUAUGUCGCAUCUGCAUUCCUCAAACCAAAUGGCAUAAUAAUAUAGCAGUACAUGCCAAAAGGUGUGAUGAAAGAAGUCGCGAGCUGGUCGGACUCUUUCAUCUUGAUUUGGUGAUACCCUGAGUAGGCGUCGAGGAAUGACAGGGUUUCACACCCAGCAGUGGAGUCCACAAUUUGAUCGAUGCGAGGCAGAGGGUAGGGAACCUUCGGACAUGCUUUGUUUAGACCAGUGUAGUCUACACACAUCCUCCAUUUCCCACCUUUCUUUUUCACAAGCACAGGGUUGGCUAACCAUUCAGGAUGGAAUACCUCUUUGAUGAACUCUGCAGCCAUCAGCUUGUGGAUCUCCUCGCCUAUGGCUCUGCGCUUUUCUUCGUCGAAACGGCGCAGAGGUUGCUUCACGGGUCAGGCACCGGCUCGGAUAUCCAAUGAGUGCUCGGCGACAUCCCUCGGUAUGCCGGGCAUGUCCGAGGGACUCCACGCAACACCUUGGCAUUUGCGCGGAGAAAGUCGACGAGCACUGCUUCCUAUUUGGGGUCGAGCUCGAAGCCGAUUCGGACUUGCUUGCAGGCGUCGUUGCUGGGGUCGAGAUGGACGGACUUAACCGCCUCUGCUGGCUCGAAGUUGCCGGCGUGGCGCUUCGCGUCAGGCACCUCCUUGGAGAGGCAUUCUAGGUCGGCGAUGAGGGCCUCGGACUCGGCGAGGGCCUCAGCGUACUCCACGCACUCCACGUCGCAUUCGUACGCGUGUCGGUACGUGGAUCCGACGGUGAUGACCCCGUUGGGGCCCGGCAUCUUGAGCUUGAGGUAGGUGUAGUUGGGGACGGCCAUGAACUUGGCGUAGCAUGGUCUCCCCAGCACCACGUGGUAGGUUCCUCGGAACCCGACCACCUCGAACGUGAGGGUUUCCUUUUGAAAGUUGGAGGGAGUUCCGAAGCAGACAGGCAGAUCGAGUUGUCCAAGGGGUUGGACGCGCUUCCCGGGGAUGAUCCCGUGAAAGGGCGCCGCACCGGCCCGAAUCGUGGACAGAUCGAUUUCCAAGAGCCCGAGGGUCUUGGCGUAGAUGAUGUUGAGGUUGUUGCCUUCGUCCAUGAGUACCUUGGUGAGCCUGGUGUUGCCGAUGAUGGGGUCGACAACGAGCGGGUACUUUCCUGGGCUCGGCACGCAGUCGGGGUGGUCACCCUGGUCGAAGGUGAUGGGCUUGUCGGACCAGUCUAGGUAGACUGGUGCCGCCACCUUUACCGAGCAGACCUCCCGACGCUCCUGCUUGUGGUGCCGAGCCGAGGCGUUCGCCACUUGCCCACCGUAGAUCAUGAAAAGCCGUGGACCUCGGGGAACUCCUCUGCCUUGUUGCCCUCCUUCUUGUCGUUGUCUUGGCCUUUGCCACCUUCGGCCGGGGGCCCAGCCUUAUGGAAGUAGCGCCGAAGCAUGACGCAUUCCUCAAGGGUGUGCUUGACGGGGCCCUGGUGAUAGGGGCACGACUCCUUGAGCAUCUUAUCGAACAGGUUGGCCCCUCCGGGAGGCUUCCGAGGGUUCCUGUGCUCGGCGGCAGCGACAAGAUCUGCGUCAGCGGCGUCGCUCUUUGCUUGCGACUUCUUCUUGGCCUUCUUCUUCGUGCCGCGCUCGGCAGACGCCUCGGGGACGUCUUCCUGCUGGCAUCCCUGAGGCUGCUUGUCCUUCCGGAAGAUGGCAUCGACCGCCUCCUGACCAGAGGCGAACUUGGUGGCGAUGUCCAUCAACUCGCUCGCUUUGGUGGGAGUCUUGCGGCCCAGUUUGCUCACCAGGUCGCGGCAAGUGGUGCCGGCGAGGAACGCCCCGAUGACAUCUGAGUCGGUGAUGUUGGGCAGCUCGGUGCGCUGCUUCGAAAAUCGCCGGAUGUAGUCUCGCAGGGAUUCCCCUGGCUGCUGGCGGCAACUUCGGAGAUCCCAAGAGUUACCAGGGCGCACGUAUGUGCCCUAGAAGUUUCCAGCGAAGGCUUUGACCAGGUCGUCCCAGUUGGAGAUCUGCGCAGGAGGCAGAUGCUCCAGCCAGGCUUGGGCGGCGUCGGAGAGGAACAGGGGGAGGUUGCGGAUGAUGAGGUUGUCAUCGUCCGUUCCACCCAGCUGGCAGGCCAGCCGAUAGUCCGCAAGCCACAGUUCCGGCCUCGUUUCCCCCGAGUACUUAGUGAUGGUAGUCGGGGCUCGGAACCGGGUCGGGAACGGCGCCCGUCGUAUGGCCCGGCUGAAGGCUUGCGGACCUGGUGGUUCGGGUGAGGGGCUCCGAUCCUCCUCACUGUCGUAGCGUCCCCCAUGCCUGGGGUGGUAGCCUCGGCGCACCUUCUCGUCGAGGCGGGCUCGACGGUCGCGGCGGUGGUGCUCGUUACCGAGGCGACCCGGGGCUGCAGGUGUUGCGCCCCGCGCGCACCCGGUGUGGACCGAGGCUUCCCGCAUGAAUCGGGAAGUUGCUGCGCGAUGCUCCGAGGGGCACCCUUGCCUUCGAGAGGCAGAGCUCUCGGCUCGUCGGACCACGGCGUCCUCCAGGAGAUUCUUGAGUUCUCCUUGGAUACACCGCCCCUCGGUGGUGGAUGGCUCCGGCAUCGCUCGGAGCAGUAUUGCCGCUGCAGCCAGAUUCUGGCCGACCCCACUGGAAGCCGGGGGCAGCCUUGCCCUGGCAUCGUCAGCGAUACAGCGCUGGACGUCCCGGGCCUGAUGACGCGCUUCUCCGGCGAGUGCUCGGCCUGCCCACUCCUGCUCGAUGUUUCGCCAGAGCUGCACAAGUUGUCCUGUUUCCUCAUCGAGCUUGGCUUGCAUCUCGCAGAUUUGCUCGAGCUGUGUGUCCUGACCCCCCGUAGGGACUGGGACCACAGCUAGCUCUCGCAGGAUGUCAACGCGAGGCGCAGGCCCAGGGGGAUCGUCAUCCUUCGGCAUACCAAGGUGGUUGCCUUCGUCGUGACCCCCUAGAUCUACGUGGAAACAUUCGCGACUUGGGCCACAACCCUCGUUGUCAAGGCUGUGGCCAUCAUCGGAGCAAUCGGAGAGGCAGUAGUCACAUGCGGUCAUGAAGUCUCGCAUGGCACUAGGAUUACCGAGUCUGCAGAAAUCCUGACCAGAGUCGGGCUCGUCUUCUUCCUCGGAACCCGGGGGCCCGUAGGUCGAGACGGCCGUCAGUCGGUCCCAGGUUGCCCACAUAUGGUACCCCGGAAGGUUAGGAUAUGCCUUUAUGAAAGCGCUCACCAAAGCGGGGUCGCUUGGUGGAUCGAAGCUAAAUCUAAAAGGCACAGGGUGGAAAACGGAUGGUACCUCUCGAUCGAUGAACGGUGACGAAGUCGCGUCGUGGGUGGACUGCACCGUUAUCUCAGGUACGAGGCUAACGCCCAGCAAGUCCUUCGCGAGCGUGCUGGCGUCAUCUGUCCGCUUGGGGCUGGCAUGUUACGGGGAAACGACACCCGCCGUCGUCUCAGGCGCGAGGUCAACGCCUGACAUGUCCCCCGCUGGGGUGCCGGCGUCAUCGACUCGCUCGACAGCCGAUGAGGUACCGCCUCCUGCCUGGCCACGGUUGCCUCGCCUCCUCCUCCUGCGGCGAGGAAAGCGGCGAGACAAACCCGGAUGCUGCUCUUCCUCCAUGGGGGGAAAACGUCGUCGUGUCCGCCGCCGCCUGGCGAGCUAACGGCCGUCGUUGUCGCUGUCGUGCUGCGGGGGAAGGAGUACCAUGUCGUAGCUGCCGUCGAGGGACAUGAACUCGAGGCUCCCGAAGUGGAGCAGCGUCCUGGGCUGAAGAGGUUGCUGGAGACUACCCAUCUGGAGCUCAACGGGAAGUUGUUCGUCAACACGCAGCAGGCCCCUACCUGGCGCGCCAACUGUCGGCGUUUCGACCUCGGGGGGUCCCUGGACCGACGAGUAAAAUUGUCGCUGCGUGCCCCAGCCCAGAUGGGUUGGCGCGAGAUGGAACACAAGGGGGGAAAACCGCGGCUCGUGUUAUCCUGCGCCAGGGGGAUGCGCUUGCAGUAGGGGUUAUAAGCGUUCGUGAGGGAGAGAGAGAGUGAGCCUGUUCGUCAGCCCGUCCUCCCGCGCGACCCUCCUACAUGAGGGCCCUGGACCUUCCUUUUAUAGAUGCCAGGAGAGGGUCCAGGUGUACAAUGGGGGUGUAGCUAUGCGCUAACGUGUCCGGCAGAGAGGUGCCAGAGCCCUGUGUACAUGCCAACGUGGCUAUCGGAGAGGUGCUAGAGCCCUGUGUACGCGGUGUCGUGGCCGUCGGAGGAGCGCCCGAGUCCUGUAGAAGCACAGUUAUCGGGGCCGCUGGGAUGUUGCUGACGUCUCCUUGCUUCCGUAGGGGGCUGAGAACCACUGUCGUCAUGGACGCACGCGGGGAGCCAUCAUUACCUGCUACCGGGGCGAGCCUGGAUGGGACGCCGGUCUUGUUCCCCCGUAGCCUGAGCUAGCUAGGGGUAGGGUAAUGAUGUAUUCCCCGUGGAGCGGUCGGUCCGAGCCCAAGGUCGGGCGAGGCGGAGACUCCUCCUGAGGCCGAGGCCGGGGUCGAGUGAGGAAGCGAUUCCUCCCGAGGUCGGGUUGAGGUCGAGCCCUGGGGUCGGGCGAGGCGGAGACCUCCUCCUGAGGCCGAGGCCCAAGGUCGGGCGAGGCGGAGCUUCCUGUUGCGCCUGAGGCUGGACUUAGCUGUUGUCAGCCUCACCAUGGUGGGUGGCACAGCAGUCGGAGAGGGGCGAGCGACGCUGUUUUCCUAUCAGGUCGGUCAGUGGGAGGGCGAAGUGACUGCGGUCACUUCGACCUUGCCGACUGAGGCACGUGUGUCAGGAUAAGGCGUUAGGCGAUCCUCACAUUGAAUGUGCCUGCGAUACGGUCGGUUGGUGAGGCGAUUUGGCCAAGGUUGCUUCACAACGAAGCCUGCCCGAGCUGGGCUUCGGGCGAGUCGAGGGUGCGCCCGUUGCUUGAGGAGGCCCUCGGGCGAGGCGUGAAUUCGCCUGGGACUACUGUUCCCGCCCGAGGCUGGGCUCGGGCGAGGCGAGAUCGCGUCCCUUGAGUAGACGAAGCCUUGACCCGAAUUGCGCCCAUCAGUCUCUGCAGCUUGUGCUGAUGGUGGUUACCAGCCGUGUUUAGGAGUGUUGGGGGUACCCCUAAUUACGGUACCUGACAAGUGUUAAAUUGGUCUAGAUUAAUUAGUAAUUGAUCAUAUUGUAGUAUAUAUAUGCAUAUUGUUUUUUGACUCACAAGCUAAACGAGCUAACUAAAGCUCGCAAUCGAGCCGAGUCGAGCUAACUUUAUCUUAACGUGAUAGCUCGACACUAGUACAAAGAAGCUUUAUAGAGGCGGUUCUAAAUAUAUCUUUACUGACGUGUUUAGAACCGCCAGUGCUACAGCCCAAUAGAAAUAAAAAUUUAUAUAGCCAGUUGUUUAUGUUUCCUAAAAAAGAUUAGUACUAACGAUUUUCUUACCUCAAUCGUCAGUGGAAAUUGAUUUUCACUAGAAGUUGUGUUAAUUAAGAACCGCUAGUAGAAAUCGAUUUCCACUCGCGAUUGAGGUAAGAAAAUCGUUAGUACUAAUCUUUUUCCGGAAACGUAAACAAGGUUUUAAAAAUAGAAAAAUAACAUUUUAAUUAGGGGAGGCCUCACCCGCCUAAUUCGCGGCAUUUUUCGCGCAAAACUCUUUGCACGCUAUGCAUGCCGGUCAAAAUCGAACCCCCAACCUUACCCUCAUGUAUAGCUUGCUCUACAACUCAAGCAAUCGCUUACUUCAUGUCUACAUACUAUUUUUGUUGCCCACAUAUUAUAGCACAAUGAGUGUAAAUUGAUUGCAUGAGGCCGUAAACAAAUUCAAACAAAAAAGUUGUCAACUACAAAGUUGAAUAACUUUUAAAGUUCUACAACUUUUAUUUUGCUACUUUUUGAGUCCAAGGUCAUUUGCAAAAUUUGCAUUGUAAAUUUGUCGAAUUAAGAUGCAAAUUUUGAGAGCUGAAAUAAUUUCAAAUAAAAAGUUAUCAACUACAAAGUUUCGUAACUUUUAAAGGUCUACAACUUUUUUGGGUGCUUUUUCAUACGAGAUCAUUUUUAAAACUCAAAAAAAUAGGAUAAUAAUGAUUUCUAGUGUUGGUUUCUUAAGAAAACUACAUGCAGAAAUCAUAUUUAUAUAGGAGAUUCCUUAAGAAAACCCCUAGUAGAAAUCAUGGAUUUACAUGCGAUUUAAGGAACCACCUAUACAAAUAUGAUUUCUAUAGGUGAUUUUCUUAAGGAAACCGUGUGUAGAAAUGCACGAUUUGCAAUGAUGGAUUUUUAGAAAACCGCAUAUAAAAUGUGUUUUCACUGGCGGUUCUUGAGUUGAGACGACAAUUUUUUCACAGGCGCUUGAUAACUAAAGCCGCCUGUAAAAAUUAGAUGUUAUCAUAGAUCGACAUAGAGCCGUUUUGUACUACUGCGAGGUCAAUCGAGCUAAGCGGGCUCGUUAUCCAGCCCUAUCAGUGGCUCUCUCCGACACCCGUUGGCUUCUAGUUUUGUGUGUGACUAGUGGCUGACGCGCGCCUUGCGCGCGUUAUGUCUGGGUGUAAAUCAGUAUUGUUAUGCAAAUAGAACACAAUUGUAAAUACUGAUAUGAAUUCUAAAUUGUUUAUAGUCAAAAAUACUGCAUUUAUCACUUACCUUUGGAUAGUAGGUUGCACAGUUUAAAGGCUAAUUGGACAAAAAUGAUGACAUAUGUAUUUUUUUUCCUUGAACACGCACUUAACAAAAGUUUAGACUCAAAGAUGGACCAAAUACAACACCUCUUUAUGGAGGCCAGUAGCAGGCAUACAAAAAAAGGUCCAUCAAAAAGAAAAAUAGUUUUGUCUAUCAUUCAUGGUGGUCCUUAUGGUUUUGUCUAUCAUUCAUGGUGGUCCUUCUGGAUUGUAAAUUCUUUGAUGCAUAGUGGUUCCUGUUUGAUCAUGUAAAAUGAAUGGUAAAAUUGAUAAAAUUGUACCAUUCACCGAUACAAUUGAUAUAAUCGUGUCAUUCAUUUUAUUGUGGUUGAUACAACUUCGUUGGUGUGAUUCCUGUUUUGUCAUUCAAAUGAUUCCUGUGAUUCAUUUUACCAUUAAACCUGUAUCAACUUUAUCGGUGAGGUGAAUAGAACGUGUGUAGGUAUGUAUAUAUUCAUUGAAAGUAUUUUUUUGUACUGGAUGUUAAUUCUACUAUGUAUGUGUAUAUAUAUAUGUGUGUGUAUUUGUAGUAAGCAAAUAUCUGUAUUGAUCGGUAGGGAGUUAAUUGUAUAGAAGCUCACCUUUUUGGAGGAGAUUGAAGUGGAGGGUCAACCUUCUUUUCUUUAUCUGUGAGAGUUUCUUGUAGCUGGUAUAGAAUGAAAUGAGUGAGCUGUAUAAAGAAGUCUGAUGUAAUGUAUGUGCGACUAUUGUUAUUUCUAAUGCAAUGUAAACAAAAUUUUAAUAGACACUGGUCCACACACAUUGUUUUCUAAUGUAUUGAUAGUUUAUAAAAGCAUACGAAUGUUACCCUUUUUGUUUAAUGUUUAAGAUAAUUGUUCACUUAAUGAAAUUAUAAAGAAAUAGCUUGUUCAACAUUUAUUCUAAAAGAGUGAUGCAUUGUAGAUGAUCUGGUAAGCAUUGUUUAUGAAGAUGCUAGGAACAAAAUUGAAGGCUCUUGAUUGUAUUUUCCCCAAAAAGUGAGAAAGGAAAAAAUAAAUAGGAAUAUAUGUGUGGUUGUUGUCUUUCCUGACUGAUUUCAGUGUACAUUUCUUUACUGACAUAGUUUUUUCAUCCUUUCUUAGUUGCAUAGAAUAGAUAUGGGAACAUUGUGUAGGCACAGAAGCAUCCUGUAAUUUGACAUUUACAAAGUAGUUAGUAUAAAUUGAAAAUCUUUAUUUCGAGUAGAGGUUGUAGGAGUUGCUACUUGAUCGUGCAGUUAGCAUUGUUCAUUGGUGCAAAUGAUUGAUGCUAUUGUCACCUAUGGAAGAUAUUCUUGCAUUUGGUUUGCCAAAAUAUAAUAUGUAAAGAUACAAGAUUUUUUUUGACCAAUAUGGUCCAGAAUAGCAGGUAUUGCGUGGAAUCGCCUGCAGCUUUAGGUAAUCAUUCAGAUUAUUUAGAAAAAAUCAUAGAUGAUAUACUUAGAGUUUUUUUCUUUUUGGUUGAUGAUUCUCAGAUUCGUAGUUAAUUAUUUUAUUUUUCGUAUGAUGAAGUGGAUAAGUAGUAGCAAUAACAUUGUAGCAAUGAAAAUAUGAACCAGCUAAUCCAUAUAUAAUAUCAAUGAAAUUUAAAGUGGUGAGCGUGGAAAACUUGCAAACCUUGACAUCCCUGCACUCGAGAGGUGGCUUUAGAUUGCUUUGGAUAAAAUUUUUGAUACGAUUGGCUCGUUUAUGGUGCCAAAAAAUGGAUAGAGACUACAGAAUGUGCUGCCCUCUUCCGCUUCCGCCCCUUUGGCAGCUAAAGCUUUGCUCCCACGCCUAAAAUACAUACAAAAUGAGAAGAACAAAAUAAUCAAUUUAUUUCAGCGUAUGAACGAAGGAAUAUGGAUUAUAUAAGUCUAGAAGCAAAUUGAAAGAAGAUAAAAAAAUACCUUGAUCCGGCGGUUCGCAAAUCGCAAGCAGCGAUUGGUCACACAUGAUCCUAGCGCUGGUAGCCGAUGACCCCUGUGUUCAAUGAUUGAGGCCCUAGUGAUGUACGCAAAUGGUGCAGGCCACAGGAGAUGAGAAAGUGGACAUCGCAUUCCCCACUAAAAAAUGGCCUCGCGCGACAGAGCUCGAGGAGGCGGCGGAGGUGGAGGAGCCUACAAGCGGCAGCGGUGCAGGGGACAGCGGGAAGCGGGCAAUAGCGGGCGAGACGGCGAUGGCGGUGGCAUGCUGAGGCUGAGCGUGCGGCCGAGUGGGAGCGCCGGAGAGAAGCCUACGGCAGUGGUGGUGGGGGCGUGACGCGAUGCGAGGAGGGGGUGCUUCUCCUACCUCAGAUUGGGUCCUCCGGGCGCACACACGUGGGAGGAGGACGAAGCACCAAGGAGCAGAGGCGACGACGCUCGCGGGGUCCAGAACCUUCACGACAAACGGAGACGGAAGACGCCGGACACGGUGGUGACGUGUGCGUGGGGUGCGGGCGGACACCAAGAUGCAGGUUCACUAAAAUGGAGAUUCUGGGCACAACACUAGGGAGGCGCUCUUGCUCUCGUGGGUUCUCGAACCUUCACGGCACAUGGAGACACCGAGCCGCUAGGGAGCGUCCACGAAAAAUCCGACGGCCACCUGAAUUUCAGACGACGUGGAUGGUCUAGCCGAC